rnacentral:lncRNA from 1 species
AAAAAAGAACUAUUCAAACAUUUGAAGAUAUUCUUCAAGCUUGUGUGAUUGAUUAUGGUGGAGUUGGGUAGAGCAUUUACCUUUGGUAGAUUUUGAUUACAAAAAUAGCUAUCAUAAAAGUAUUGGUAUAGCUCAUUUUGAGGCAUUGUAUGGUAGGAGGUGUAGACCUAUUUUUAGUUAGUUUAAGCUCGGUGAGGCUAAUUUAUUUCAUUCGGAUUUGGUUCAUUAUGCUAUAGAAAAAGUGAAGGUGAUUCAUGAUAGGCUCAAGGCUACCCAGAGUCUCCAAAAGUCAUAUGAGGAUGUUUGGCAUAGAUAUUUAGAGUUUGCAGUUGGGGAAAAGGUUUUCCUUAAGGUGUCUCCUAUUAGGGAGUAGUGCAGUUUGGCAAAAAGGAAAGCUCAGUCCUCCAUUCAUUGAUCCUUAUGAGAUUUAGCAUGGAGCGGGCAAUGUUGCGUAUGAGUUGGAGUUGCCAUUUAGUUUGAGUUUGUUUUAUUUGGUAUGUCAUUCUUCUAUGUUAAGAAAGUGCGUUGGUGAUUUAUCUUCGUUUAUGCCUUUAGAAGGAUUGGAUAUCUCAAAUCCUUUGUCUUAUGAAUAGGUCCUAUUUAAGAUAUUGGAUAGGCCGGUUCAUCAAUUGCAGACCAAGGAUACGGUUUUAGUUAAGGUUCUAUGAUGGAAAAACAAAGUGAAAAAUCUAUGUAUGAAGCGGAAGAGGAUAUGAAGUCCAAGUAUCCACUCUUGUUUUCUGCUCUUGAUAUUCGUGAGGAAGGUAUGUUCUUGAACACAUCUUUAUUUUCUGAGUUUGUUAAAAGAAAUAUUUAACAUCUUUGCCUCUUUGUUUCAAACUUUGUUAAAGGGAUGUUUGAUAAUGCAAAUGACUCUGUGUGUAACCUUAUCUGUCAUUCGGGGAUGAAUGUUCCUAGUGUAGGAGACUGAAGCAUCCUUGGAUUGGACCCUUAGAAAAUUUCUAGGAAUCUUAUUCUUCAGAACCAUUAUGAAUCAUGGUAAGAAACGUAAGUUGGGGAACAAGUGGUGAAGACCUGUCAUAAGUUGCCUCUUGUAAUGCCCCAAGUUUGUACCCUGGAUGCUAUACGGUGCUAACAAUCCCGAAGGACCACUAGCUAACACAUGACUGGUACCUCCUGUAAGAACUGAAUAAUAAAGAUGCUGUAAUGAGAAAAUAAGGAAGUAAAUGCGGAAACUAUCAUAAGGUUAAAAUCUAAAAACAAUAUUGUAAACAGAAAACUUAAUGGUGGAAAACAACUAUAUGAAAACACUCUAGUCUGAUAAGCCUCUAAACUAUCUGAAAUAUGGAGUUAAUGGGACAAGACCCCAAUUAACUCUAGAUGACUACUGAAAUAACUGAAAUACUAAAAAAAUCAUGUCCUCAAAAUAUGAGAACUCACCACUACGCUAGCUGCUGAGAAGCUGUACUACUGAGGAUACUCAGGGGCCCGUGCAUCUGAACCUAUGAUAUAAGACAUCAUAGUGCAAAAAACCACAUGUCAGUACUUUAAAUAUACUGGUAUGCUCAAUGAGGUAGGCUUAAAUUCAUGGGUUCAUAAUACAUGAACAAUACUAACUAAAUAACAUAGAUAUGACCGAAUGGGGGUGCAUGUAUGAAUACGUAGACUAUAACUGAAAUUAUGAUGAUACAAAUACUAAUGCUAAAUACUAAUUUACUAAUAUCUGAGUUUACUGAUACUGUAUUACUGAUUAUCUGGAUGACCGUAUCUGACACUCCUGAAGUCUGUAGAACUAUACACUGAGUACUAAUCUGAGACUAAAUCUGAAAUUGAGAAUGUAGGAGGUAAUCAUCUAACCGACAUGCCCCAUUUCUAAAUAGAUUUUGGGGUCCAACCUGUAACCCCAGUUGGAAGGGUGCUAGUACCAUCCCAUGGGUAAAGACAACUGAAGAGAUGCCCUCAUCUGGCAGGUACUCUAAUGAGAAUGGUGGAACCCUCAACUGACAGGUUAAAACACCUUAUCAACCCUCUAUUGGCAGGUUUGAUGUCUCAACCUACACUGGCUAUGUAGUUUUGGAAUGCAAGGAUUGUUUCUAAGAAUCACACCCUCUACUGGAAGGUGAGUCCCCAUCCUUGGAUUCACUCGGUGUUGAAUCCUACUCAAAAUGAAUAGACACUGAACUGAUUUCCUAUUUCAUACUAGGCUUAACUGAACUGGACUGGAUUAGUACUAAGUUUACUAAAUUUUCCUGGAAUCUGGAACUGACUAAAAGUACCACUGAUCACGACCUGACUGAGACUAUUCUAUAACUGACACUGGCUCUAGGUAUAGAACUAAAUUGUUAAGUAUUAAAUACCACCAAGACUCGAUAGCGUAAAGAGUAAAGCGUAACAUAAAUCUUGAAGGCACAAUAAUGGAAACAUGUUCAUAAUUCACUUUCUACAGCAUUUAAUCAAACACUUGUAAAUCUUGAACUUGUACAUAUAUAGGUAUCCAUACUAUCAUGUCAUAAGUACACUAACAAUUCAUAUAGGCAUUUAAACAAACACCUUCAUGGAAUAGCUUUAACAUGGGAGCCCUUUAGACAAUAAUUAUUUCAUGGGCUCAUAAUUGAGAUAAACAAUGGAUCAAAUUUCACAAUUACUUCACAUAGGCAUUUUUGUUAAACACAUGGGAGGCAUCAUAUUAUACUUGGGCAUAAAUAAUAAUUCAAUACAUCAUGGCUACAUUAAUACUUUAAUUUCAAAGAUUUCAACCCACAUGCUAACAUAAAUUCAUGAAAUUCAUUAAAGACAUCAUCUUGGAAUUCACACAACAAGAUUAACAUGAAUACAAACAACCCACAACAUGGAAAUCAUGAUUUAAGAUUUUAAAAAGGGUUUCUUAAACUCCAAGGGUAAAAGGGCCCUUGGAUAAAUACUUCACAUACCUUUAUGCUUGUUUUUUAGAUGAUUGACGGUAGAAUUCUUGAGAUUAGAAUCUUGAAUUGAAAACCCUAAUGCUUGUUGUUGAGAGAGCUUGAGAGAAAGAUUGAGAUUUUACCCUAUAGGCUGAUUAAUUUCGUAUUAAGGUUGAAUAAGGUUGGGAAAAUGACCCACUUCCCCCCACAACCUGUAUUAAAAUAAUCCUGAAAAAGGAUGCCCUCGCGUCGCGAUCCCUACUUUGGUCAAGUAGCCAUCGCAAUGCAACCCCUACUUGGGUCAAGUAGCCAUUGCGGUUUGACCCUUACUUGGGUUGACUGGCCCUCGCGACGCGGGGCUAUCGCGACCCUUCACUAUUUUGGGCAUCCAAAUUCAACCUUACGCUAGUCUAAAAAAUUCAAAACUUACUUGAGAUGACCUCCAAGUAACCCUGAUCAUGAAUCAAUUCAUAAAUUGUCUAACUAUGGUCGGGAAGGUAGGAAAUAAAAUCCUCCAAAUUUGGAAUGCUAAAAUGAUUCUAAGUCUUGAUACUUAGCUAAAAAAAAAUUCUAAGUGUGGGACCCCUUAGUAAGCUUUAAAGGACUGAGUCAAGCUUAGAAUUUUGUAGGGUCUUACAAUAUCUCCCCCUUGGGAAUAUUCGUCUUCGAAUGAGGCUGACUAAGAUGAGAUUACAAAUGUACUGAACUUAUUUACUGGACACAAACAAUAAAACAUGAUUGAAACUACUAAUAUACUGAGUUUUUCAUACUGAGCAUACAUUUCAGAAUGUAACGAAUACAUGACUGAAUAUACUGACAAACAGGGUUUGUAUAAUGAAUAUGCAUAUAUGCAUGCAAUGAAUACAUGACUUAAAACAAUUCUUGAAUGCAUGACUUAAUAUGUAACGGCAAUUGAUACCAAGUUUUGCAAGGGAAUUCUAAGUAAGUUUUAAGGAAAACUAUUGCCUUGAGCUAAGUCUGAGUUGGCAGAGAAGAGGUGAGGUUACUUGGUUCACAUAUAUGCUUCUGCUUCCCAAGUAGCUCCCUCAACAGACUGAUUUCGCCAAAGAAUUUUGACUAGGGGACUUCUUUGUUCCUUAGUCUACAAAUCUGAUAGUCAAGGAUUUCAACUGGAACCUCUUCAUAAGAGAGAUGUUCUGAACGUCUAUGCCAUCUAUCACGACUACGACUACUGGGUCACCUAUGCAUUUCUUUAGCAAGGAGACAUGAAAUACUAGAUGGACUGAAGCUACAUCUAAAGGCAACUCAAGCUCAUAAACUACCUUUCUAAAACGGCUAAGAAUUCGGUAAGGACCGACAUAUCGGGGAUUGAGUUUCCCCGUCUUGCCAAACCUCUUCACUCCUUUCAUAGGAGAGAUUUUCAAAUACACAUAGUCACCAAUCUCAAACUCUAGAUCCUUUCUGUGCAUGUCUACGUAUGAUUUUUAUCUUAAGCCUUUCUCUAAUCAACUGAAUUUUUUCUAAGGAAUCAAAUACCAGGUCAGGCCCUACCACUGUAGCCUCACCCACUUCAAACUAACCAAUGGACGAACUAUAUCUCCUCUCAUAAAGCACCUUAAAUGGAGCUAUCUGAAUGUUCGAAUGAUAGUUGUUAUUAUACAAAAUCAAUUAAAGAUAAGUGGGCAUCCUAACUACUGUUAAAAUCAUUUGCACAUGCUUGCAGCAUAUUUUCUAAAGUCUAGAUGGUCCUUUUUGCGUGACCAUCUAUCUGAGGAUUAAAAGUGGUACUGAGGUGAACUCAGGUACCAAGACCCUUUUGGAAUGUCUUCCAGAAAUGAGAGGUGAACUGGGUACCCCUAUCUUAGACAAUGGACAAUGGAAAAUCAUGCAAUCUAACUAACUCCUUGAUAUAGAGUUUUGCAUACUCCUCAGCUAAGUAAGAGGUAUGGACUGGUAGAAAAUUAUUUGAUUUGGUCAUCCUAUCUACAAUGACCCAAACUAAAUCAUGUUGAUGACGAGUAUAAGGAAAACCAAUAACAAAGUCCAUGUUAACUUCUUCCCACGUCCAAGUAGGAAUGCUGAACUCCUGCAUGGACCCACUAGGUUUCUGAUGCUCAAUCUUAACCUACUGACAUGUAGAGAACUUAGCUACAAACUCUAGAAUGUCCCUAUUCAUCCCACUCACCAAUAGAUUUCCCACAAAUCAUGGUAUAUCUUCACGGCCACUAGAUGAAUAGAGUAAUGCACACCACGCACCUCUGUAAGAAUUUGCUGCCUCAAUCCAUCUACACUCGGUACACACAGAUGACUCUAAUAAUACAAUAUUCUAUCUCCCCCUUUUGAUAAUACCUAUACCUUCUGAUCGCUGACUGACUCUUUCAACUUAAUUAAACUGGGAUCUUUCUCCCUUUUUUCCUUUACUUUGGAAACUAGAGAUGAUUCUAAAUUAUUCUGAACCCAUACACUACCUUCUGUUGAGUUGACUAAGAGGAUACCUAAUCGGGCAAGUUGAUGGAAUUCUUGAGCUAAUUUUUCUUAUUACCAUCAACAUAAGCAACACUACCUAUAGACAGCCUAUUGAGAGCAUCAGCCACUUCAUUUACCUUGCCCGAAUUGUAUAUUACACUCAUGUCAUAAUAUUUUAAUAACUCUAACCACCUUCUCUGAUAGAGGUUAAGAUCUUUCUAGGAGAACAUAUACAACAGCCUCUUAUGGUCGGUGAAUAGAUCAAUGUGCACCCCAUACAAGUAAUGCCUCUAAAUCUUUAAGGCAAAAACUACUGCUGCUAUCUCAAGAUCAUGAGUAGAAUAGUUUUUCUUGUGGGGUUUAAGCUAUAAGGAGGCAUAAGCUAUUACCUUACCUUUCUGCAUGAGGACAUAACCCAAAACUAUUCUUAAUGUAUCACAGUACACAACAAAGCCAUCAGAAUAAUCUGGUAGGGUCAAAACUAGAGUUGUAGUAAGUUGAGUCUUCAACUCCUGAAAACUCUUCUCACAAGAAUCUAACCACUAGAAUUUGACCUUCUUUUGAGUCAACUUGGACAUAGGGGUUGCAAUAGAUGAAAAUCUCUCAACAAACCAUAGGUAAUAGCCAGCCAAACCCAAGAAACUCCUGAUGGAUAUCGGGUCUGGUCUAGUUUCUCACUUCUUCAUUCUUUUAGGUAUCAACUCUAAUGCCAUCACCCAAAAUUAUAUGGCCGAGGAAAGCUAUUGACCCUAGCAAAAAUUUGCACUUACUGAAUUAGGUGAAUAAUUGAUGGUUUCUGUGAGUCUAAAAUACUAUUUUGAGAUGGUCUACAUGAUCAUGUUCACUGCGGGAGUAAACAUGGAUAUCAUCUAUGAAGACUAUGUCAACCAUAUUCAUGUACUGCUUGAACACAUGGUUCAUCAAGUUCAUGAAAGCUUCUGGGGCAUUAGUAAGACCAAAUGACAUGACUAAGAAUUCAAAGUGGCCAUACCAUGUUCUGAAGGUUGUUUUUAGAAUGUCACACUCCCUGACUCUAAGCUGAUGAUAGCCUUAUCUGAUUUCUAUCUUAGAGAAGUAAUUGGCACCCUAAAUUUGAUCAAACAAGUCAUCGAUUCUAGGAAAUGGAUACUUGUUCUUGACUGUGACUUUAUUUAACUGACUGACUAUAGUUAAUACACAUUCUGAGGGAAUCGUCUUUCUUAAGAACAAAUAGAACUAGUGUGCCCCAUAGGGAGAUACUGGCUCUGAUGAAUCCCUUAUCUAAGACAUCCUUUAACUUCUCUUUUAAUUCUCUAAGUUUUGCUAGAGAUAUUCUUAUGGUAGAAUAGAGAUGGGCUGAGUAUCUGGAAGGAGAUCAAUUCAAAAAUCAAUUUCCCUUUUGAGAAGGACUCCGAGAAGAUCUUUGGGAAACACCUCUAGAAAUUUGCAAGCUACUAACACUAAUUCAAGUGUAGGGGUUUCUGAUCUGGAGUCCUAGACUUCGACAAAAUGGUAUACACACCCUUUAGAUAUCAUUUUUCUAGCCUGAAGGUAAGAAACAAGUUGAACCCUAAGUGCUGAAUUACUACCCCUCUACUCUAGGAAGGGUUCAUUCACAAACAAAAACUGGACAAUUCUGUUUCUGCAGUUGAUUGAAGCAUAGUAGGAAUAAAGAUAAUCCAUAAUGAGAAUGACAUCAAAAUCAGUCAUCUCUAAUUUGACUAAGUCUAUUGAAGUGAUUUUCUAAGAUACCACAACUAGAUAGUUCUUAUAUACGCGCUGAACUAUGAUGGGUUUACCCACUAGGGUAGAGAUUGAGAAAAACUCUGCUAGGAUUUUAGGACUGACUCAAAACUCAACUGCUAUAUAUGGAGUAACAAAAGACAAACAAGCUCCUGGAUCUAGCAAAUCAUAAACAUGCAAAUGAUAAACUUCUAAUGUACUAGUGACCACAUCAAGAGAAUUUUCCUAAUUCUAUCGGUACUGAAGAGCAUAGAGCCUAUUUAGGCACUGUCCACUAGUGGCACUGGCUGAGGCACCCUAUUAAUUCGAGUGAUUAGACUGAGCUGGAAGAUGGUUACGCUGACCCUGGAAACCUAACUGGGGACAAUAUCUGACUUUAUGGCCUGUCUUGCCAUAUAAAAAACAUACAUCAGUUCCUGCUCUACAGACACCCUGAUGGUUUCUGCCACACUACUGGCAGAGAGGAUUCAUUCAGGAACUGCUAAUACUACCCUGAGGUUUAGGGCCUGAUGCCCUAUCUCUGUUGCCCUCUCUAAAUUUUAGCACUAGAGCACUAGCUGAGGACGGGGAUGGAAUUAAAGAUUUUGGGUAGAAUUGAGAACAAUUCCCACCCUCCAAGUUAGGCUGAGCAAAGUUAAAACUACCUAUUCUAGCCAUCUUAUUAUGCUUCUCUCUCUUUUUAUUUUUCUACUCUUUGAUCUGUUGAGCAUGGACCAGCAGUCUAGACAAGUCCAUCUCACUAAUCAGCAUCUCGGUUUUGCACUCCUUAACCACAAUAUCAUUCACCCCAGACAUAAACUUACUCAUCUUAGACCUUCUAUCUACUACCAUGUGAGAAGCAUAUCUGGCUAAUUGAUUAAACUUUAGAGAAUACUCUUUCAUCAUCAUACUUCCUGCUUGAGAUUGAUAAAUUAUAGAAUCUUUGCUUCCCUUAUCUUCUGUGGGAAGAACCUACCUAGAAAAGUUGUGGAAAACUACUCCCAUUCUAUGGGCCCUACGUCUGCAGCCCUUUCUGCUUUCCACUAUUUAAACCACGAGUGAGCCACAUCCUACAACUGAUAUGCAGAUAGCUCAGCACUCUCACUAGCCAUCAUCCCUAUGACAUCAGUAACUUUCUACACCUGAUCAAUGAAUUCCUAAGGGUCUUUAGCUGACUUAGACCUGGUGAAAGAUGAAGGGUUCAUUCGGGUGAAAUCCUAAACCAAAACAGUCGUUGUCUUGGUGAUUGGGUUGUCUAGAAUAAUAUCUGAGCACUUAUUCUAUGCUGCUACAGCAUGAGCUAGGGUGGUAAAAGUAGUUCUGAACACAACAUGGGAGACAUGUUCAUCCACAGGAUCUGGCUAGAUGGAUUAGGGUUCUUGAUGGUCUCUUGUUCCUCUUCUCUUAGUUCUUUUGGGAGGCAUGAUCUAUAAAUAUAAGAGAAACUUGGAUUAGAUAGACAGUUUAACAAGAGCCUAUGCUCACUCGCACGACAUGAAUACUGAAAGAAGGGAAACUAUUCCUAAAACAUCUCAUCGCCUCAUGUCCACAAGUGUGGCGCGCUACACACCCAUGCACAAGACUCUACUCAAUAUGGCCUUUAGACUUCCUAGGACUCUGUUGAACCUUAGGAUCAGAUACAAAUUUUUGUAAUAUCCUGAGUCUGUACCCCAGAUGCUACACAGUGCUAACAAUCCCAAAGGACCACUAGCUAAUGGAUGACUAGUACCGGCUGUAAGCACUGAAUAAUAAAGACACUGUAAUAAUAAAAUAAGAAAGUAAAUGUAGAAACUAACAUAGGGUUCACAUCUAAAAAUAAUAUUGUAUACGGAAAGCUCAAUGCUUGAAAAUAACUGUCUGAAAAAUACUAUAGUCUGAUAAGACUCUUAAUUGUCUUAAAUAUGGAGUUGAUGGGAUAAUCCCCAACUAACUUUGACUGACUGCUAAAAUAAUUGAUAUGCUAAAAAUAAUCAUGUCCCCGAAAUAUGAGGACUCACCACUACGCUGUCUACUGAGAAGCUAUACUACAAAGGAUGCUCUGGGGCCCGUGCGUCUGAACCUAUGAUACAAGACAUCAUAGCGUAAAAAGCAUGUGUCAUUAUUUGAAUAGACUGGUAUGCUCAGUGUAGUAGGCUGAAAUGCAUGGGUUCAUGAUGCAUGAACAAUACUAACUAAAUAACAUGGAUAUGACCGAAUGGGAGUGCAUGCAUUAAUACGUAGACUGUAACUGAAAUUGUGAUGAUACUAACUAUUUAGUUUGAAUAAUAAUUUAUUAAUAUCUAAGUUUACUGAUAUUGUAUUACUAAUUAUCUGGAUGACCAUAUUUGAUAGUCCUGAAGUCUGUAAAACUAUAAUGUGUUCUAAUCUGAGACUGAAUCUGAAACUGAGACUAUGGGAGGUAAUCAUCUUACUGACAUGCCCCUUUUCUAAAUAAAUUUUAUGGUCCAACCUAUAACCCCAGAUGGAAGGGUUCCAGUACCGUGCCACGGGUAAAGACAACUGAAGAGAUACCCUCAUUUGGAAUGUACUCUAAUGAGAAUGGUGAAACCCUCAACUGACAGGUUAAAACACCUCACCAACCCUCGACUGGCAGGUUUGAUGUCUCAACCUAGUUGGCUAUGUAUUUAUUGAAUGCAAGGAUUGCUUCUAAGAGUCACACCAUCUACUAGCAGGUGUGUCCCCAUCCUUGGGUUCACUCAAUGUUGAAUCCUACUCCCAACUGAAUAGACACUGAACUGAUUUCCUAGUACAACUAGGCUUGAUGAACUGUUACUAAACUGGACUGGAUUAGUACUGAAUUUACUAUGUUUUCUUGGAUUCUAGAACUAACUAAAAGUACCACUGAUCAUGAUAUGACUGAGACUAUUCUGUAACUAACAUUGGCUCUAGGUAUACAGCAAAAUUGUCGGGUAUUAACUACCCCCAGGACUCAACAGCAUAAAGGGUAAAGCGUAACAUAAAUCUUGAAGGCACGACAAUGGCCACAUGUUCACAAUUCACUCUCUAAGGCAUCUCAUCAAACACUUGUGAAUUUUGAACUUGUACAUGUAUAGGGAUGUAUGCUAUCAUGUCCUAUGUACACUAACAAUUCACAUAGGCAUUUCAACAAACACCUUCAAGGCGUAGCUUUAACAUGAGAGCCCUUUUGACAUGUAUUUCUUUCACGAGUUCAUAAUUCAGAUCAACAAUGGAUCAAAUUUCACAAUUACUUCACUUACGCAUUUUUAGCAAACACAUGGGAGACAUCAUAUUAUACUUGGGCAUGAAUAAUAAUUUAAUACAUCAUGGCUACAUUAACCACUUCAAUUUCAAAGAUUUCAACCCAGAUGCUAACAUAAAUUCAUGAAAUUCAUUAAAGAAAUCAUCUUGGAAAUCACACAACAAGAUUAACAUGAAUACAAACAACCCACAACAUAGAAAUUAUUAUUUAAGAUUUUAAAAAGGUUCAAGGGUGAAAGGUCCCUUAGAUGAAACUUCACAUACCUUUGUGCUUAUGUUGGAGAAGAUUGAUGGCAGAAUUCUUAAGAUUUGAAUCUUGAAUUAAAAACCCUAAUGCUUGUUCUAGAAAGAGUUUGAGAGAAAGAUUGAGAUUUUUUCCUAAAGGCUGAUUAAUUUCUUGUUAAGGCUGAAUAAGGUAGGGAAAAUAACCCAUUUACCCCCCACAACCCAUAUAAAAUUAAUGCUGAAUAGGGCUACCCUCACGUUACGACCCCUAUUUGGGUUAAGUAGCCAUCUGAUGCAACCCUACUCAGGUCAAGUAGCUAUCGUAGCGCGACCUUAACUAUGGUUUAUUGGCCCUGGCGCUGCUGGGCUAUCACGACCAUUCAUUAUUUUGGGCAUCCAAACUUGCCAUUACGCUAGUCCAAAAAAUUUAAAACUUGCCUGAGAUGACCUACAAGUGACCCUGAUCAUGAAUCAAUUCACAAAUUGACUAAUUAAGGCCGAGAAGGUCAAAAAUAAAAUACUCAAAAUUUAGAAGGCUAAAAUGAUUCUAAGGCUUCAUACUUCGCUAAAAAUAUUCUAAGUUUGGCACCCUAUAGUAGGCUUUAAAGGACUGAGUCAAGCUUAGAAUUUUGCAGGGUCUUACACCACUCUAAUUCUUUUGCCUUCCCAAUACCCCUUCUACCACCCCUUCACUUCAAUAGUCACCUCUCUCUUUACCUUCUCCAUAUUUAUCCUCUUCUUUUCUCCAUUCAACUCCUCCUCGUCCUCUCUAUCUCUUUUAUUAUUAAUCUAAACUCUUCUCUACCAAAUGACCCAAACUCAAUCCAUGGAAAUCUCUCAAAAACCUUCGCUAGUAUGGGAUAUAUUUUAAUUAAUGAGGAGUAGUGUAGAAAGAAAUCCACUAGAGAAAAAUCUGAGUUCCCUAAGGUAAGUAAACCUAUUUGUAACCCCAUGUUUUAGGUAUUAAAGGAGUUGGAAGAACUCAAGGACCGCAUGAGUAUUGUCGAGGAAGAGGUGGUGUUGCUUCAGGUGUAAACUUCCAAAUUGCUGCAGCUUGGGAAGAGCGCUAAUUCUGACAUAAGCAAAGUAAGUUUGACCUUUGAUUAUUUCAAACCUAAAGGCAUAAAUUUUUUUUCCAAAGUAUUCUCUCGCAUGGACUCUUUCAAAACCGAAGAAAGCUCUUCCAACAAUGACCUUGCUAUUGCUUUUCAGAACUUCUAUUUCUUAUUUUUUAAGAAUAUUGAAAAAUCAUAUGACGAUUCUGUCACAACAUGUAUGAUACCCUCACCUACUUCUUGGCCAAACUAUAACUCUGAUGACUUCUAUUAGAAAGGGGGUCCUAUACUUUUUCAAAUUAUGGGUUGUAAAAUGAUUUCACACAAACUAUGGGGUUUUUAACUUCACCUUGAUGUAUAUCUGUGUGGUUUUCUUGGUUUGUGUUUUUGUUCCCUUCCUGUGUGUUGUUUCUUUUUUAUUAUGUCAAAGGGGGAAAACAAGAACAUCGGAGAUAACUAUCAAGUCAGGGGGAGAUAGUCCAGUCAACGAAAGUCAAUUGGCAUUUCAAAAUAUGAGAGUUGGAAAAAUAGAGAAUCCAGUCGAUUAUAGAAACAGAAAAGCUAACAGUUGUUUAAGUAGUAUUUGUCAUUAUCAAAAAGGGGGAGAUUGUUAGCUUUCUAUGGUUUCAUUUUAAUAAUGAUAAACUAAUAAGUAGAUAUUUCUAUGAUAUUGGAAACUUCUAAUGAUGGAAAGAUGUCUAACACAAAGAUUUAAAGGAUUAGAAAGUUGAUAAAGGUAAGAAAGACGGCUCCAAGAAUGGAAGAAUAUCCAAUCACGAUCUACAACAUCCAAGCAAAUCAAUCAAAACAAGAACAAAAGGAAGGAAAAUCAUAAAUCCCGAAAUCAUGAAAAAUCCAUGAUCUACAACAUCCAAAAGAAUCAAUAAGAAUAAAAACAAAAAAAAAGAAAUUCACAAAUUCGAAAAUCAUGACAAAAGCAUAAGAAAGAAGAGACCACGGAUGUAUCUAAUAUGGACGCAAGUAAGAAUUUGUGUAUGGAUUUAUCUGAUAUGGACAUACCAUAUAGUUACUUUCCUUAAAAUAAAGCAUCUUGGGUUUGGACCCUUAGAAAAUUUUGAGGAAUCUCUUUCUUCUGACCCAUUAUGACUCAUGGUACGUGACAACGCCCAAGAGCACAUGCAAGUAUGCGUGGUCUACCAAUUAGUAAAGUGUCCUUCAAGAAAGCCGAGUUAUUGAUCCCAUAGGGACUUGUGUUAAACAACUAUCUAAUUCUAGUUUAAAAACUUGAGAAGAGUAACAAUAAAGUCUUAGAAUUAUAAACUAAAAGUAAACUAAACUAAUCCAGUAAAGUAAUGACUUAGGACAAUCGUGGAUAGAAGCCCAAGGUUAAUCAUUACAACCAAUCAUACUACGUUAUUGAACUUUAUUCGUUGCAUUACUUAUCGUGGUUGUGUAUUCAUAGGGUUAAUUGCAUGAUUAUUGUUUUCCAACCUCUAAUCCUUUACCUAAGUUGCACCUUACACCUAUAUUUUUUAGCAGGGAUAUAAUAAUCCAGUUAAGUUAUGUAAGCUAUCAUCCUAUGUUUGAAUCAAGUAAGGCAUCUAAGCACAUCCCUAUGCUAGAUGCUAAUUCAAGUCUCUUACUUUAUAAAGAAAUAAGAACCAUACUUAGCUUAUUCCCUUGUUUUAUCUCCCUAUUCCCUCUCUCGAGAUAACAAGGUUGAAAAUUUAUGUAUUCUAAGGGUAGCUAAUCCUUAAAAUAGUUAAAACAAGAAUAAACAAGGAACCAAUAAUAAUAAUCAAGUCAACAAACUUAAUUUAAAAUGAAAGUAGUCACGAUCUUGGCAUUAAUCGCGGAAAGGGAGAUGUAGCUUUUAAUGGAAAUAUUCAUUAUCCAAUCCCUUGGAUUGAUGAUACAAACCAUGAAAAAAAAAACUAAAUUAAAGAGAUAUAAACCCUAAAAAAAGUGUUGAGAAGCCCCAAAACUAGUCUAAUACGUCCAAAAGUAUGUAAAAACUUGAUAUAAAAUGUAUUUAUAGCAAUCAGGUAAGCCAAGUCCGUAUUGGAAUUGAAUUAGAAUGAAACACCUAGGGGUUGAGUGGACCAUGCAUCACACCAUCUAUUCCUAUGGAAUGGAGAAUACGACACACCCUCUAUUCCAUAGAAAUAGAGCAUGUGACGCACGUUUAUCGGACGCCUUCACUGGAAUUUACAUACAAAAUUUUGGUUAAGUGUUGGUCCUUCCUCCUUCCAUCACUUAUCUUGUGGUGUCUUUCCAAUGAUUUUCCAGCCUCUAUAUCAUCCAUAUAUCAUCAUAUUAAGAUAAAAAAGGAUCUUUCAAGAAAACACCACAUGAAUUAGAGUUACAAAUACACAAUAUCCAUCAUGAUAAACCAAAAACAAGAGCUUAGACUAGGUUGAUUUCCAUGAUCUUUCACUUGAAGUUUCAACUUUUUCCUUGACUCACUUGAACUUUAAACACUACUAGAAAAUUGUUGCACAUAUAAAAACGCAUAUAAACCAUAAGGAACAAUUAAAACACAAUAGAAUCAAUCAAGAUAGACUAGACAAGCAACUAUCUCAACCUAGAAAGACUAGUUUUCUCUAUUGAACUCAAAUUGACUCUUUGAAGUACCAACUUACUUGGAAUUUACUUUGAACCUUAUAAACACAUGUUUUAACACUUUGAUACAUAUUUAUUUCAUUAUCAACCCCUAUAGCAUAGAGUCAUCCUCAAAACAAGGCUAAAAUAACUAGAAUAGUGACAAUAGAAUGCAUAAAUAUACCCUAACAUCACCACCCCACUCUUAAAGCCUUGUUCGUCUUUGAACAACUCUUAAUUGUAAUUAUUAUCAACUCAGGAGACUCUACAUUUCUACUAAAUGCAAGACACUCAAGGUAGUAAUACAAUGACUACACAGAAUGCAAGUUACUACACUAAGCAUGUUAUUUACACAAUUGAUAGCUCAUGAACACUACUCCAAAACAUCCUAGCCUCAAGAAUUGACUCACCUAGUUGGCAAACUCAUGUAUAUUUCUCAAUAAAGGACAUCAUAUAAAUCAACCACAUUCAUCAAACAUGUGUCUUCAUAAUAAGAGAGUUACCCAUAAUCACUAACAAUAUUGUAAUUUAUCACAUAAUGGGUACAAGAAUUAAAUUACACUCACUCUUACAAAGAAUUAACAAGUUACACAUACUGAAUCAUAAGCUUUCCCUUAGGCUAGUGCUCUACUAAUAUCAGAAUGUAAAGUAUAGGAUUAAUUAAGACUUUUUCGGGUUGCAAUAUAGUCUAAGGGACAGGUAGGAACUAUUUGAAAAUAGUAAAUAAAAUCUCUAAGAACUUUAAUGCACUACAUCAAACAUUUAACAUCAAUCUUCAACAACCAACUUACACUAUUUUUACUACCCCAUUCUUUUGUUUUGCCCCAUUUUCUUUAAGCAUUUUCACAAACACUUGGUGGGCAUAUUCUCUAUUCCUUUAAGAUUUAAUAUUUCUCAAUUUGUACAAUCAUGAAAAUAUUCCUAACAUCAUUUAUAUCACUCCCAACCACCACACAUCAAAUAUAAACACCAAUAACUCUUAUCUUGGGGCAUCAAUUUCACCUUUUUCUUUUUCAAUUUCUCAAACUCCUUACUAAUUUAAUUUUUUUUCAAUUAAAGAACCUAGGAGCUUUUUGGAUCAAAUUAAGUUCCAUCAAAGAAAAGGAAUAAGGAUUUAUAUGAUGUUGCCAAAGAAAAGGCUAAAGGCUCAAUAGGGGUUAACUAGAAUAAUGCACAAUAGGUAUGACAAAUAGAAGGAAUAAAACAAGGGUAUCAAAGAAACGCCCAAAUCAUCUCCUAAACCCACACUCUUUAUUUUACUUUACACACACACCGGGCAAGUUCUAGACUUCACAUGCAACAAGGAAUAUACCAAAUCUCACACUCAUAUGGAACAUGUUCAACUCAUAUAGGAUUAUGAUAGAAUACUCAUCAAACAAUAACAUGAAUUCAAAAUUAAGCCAACAAGUACAAGAGUCACAUAUAUAAGACUAGGAGUCUAAAAAAUAGCAAUUAAUUUAAUCAGCAUGCUUUUACAAACAAAUCCACUAGCUUCAUGUAAUAAAAAAUAGCACCAACAAGAAUAUCUUAUAAAAAAAUUAAAUUAUGCCAAAAAUUAGGAAUUUUCCCACCCCACACUUAAAAAUCUACUUUGUCCCCAAAGUGAACUUGUAAAGUAAGAGAUAGAAAUACUCCCUAAGGCCUUUAAUCCUAGAUAAUAUUAUAUUUUUAAAUUAAUGAGAUCCAUGGGAGCCCCACACUUAGUUUUUCCCAUGCUUCUUAGCUCAGGUUUUCAGUACUUAGACUUCCCAUAAACUUGUGACUCAACAAAAACAAAAAACUAUGUUAAAUAAAAAAAAUUGAAAAUAAAACAUACCUAAUUAACUUGGGUUGAUGCCCAAGAAACACCUAAUUUAGUGUCGUGGAAUGACCCAAUCAACUUUUUUCUCCACCUUAAGGAUAUUAAUUUCACCCCCAACUUUAUAUCCAACUUUUUCCCUUGCUCAUAUGGUGGUGGUACAAAGAUUAAUGAACUGAGUAAUGGAUGAUGAAUGGUAAACCACUCGGCGUUAAGGUAAGGUGUGUUCUUAAGUUGCUUAUCUGGUCUAAAAUUAAGAAUAUAGGAUUCUUGUUCCUCAUCUGCACACUCUUCCAAUCUUAUAGAUGGUUCCACAACAAGAUAUCACCUAAAAAUAAUGUAGAAAAGUGCUUUGAGUGAAUCCCAACCAAUCCCACAUCAAAAUUUACACUAUAUUCAACAUUAUCACUCAUAUUCACCUUCUAAAUUUCAGUCUCAAAAGAAAGAUGACAAUCGAGUGGCUGUGAUUCUUGUGUUUGUUCCAUAAAUUGGCUAAUAUCCUCCUCAUAUUUUUCUUUUCUUAGCAUCUAUAGACAUGGUAGAGGUGGCAUCUCCUCAGCCAUUUUAACAACUUUAGUUUUCAAGUACUCAUACUACCUCAAAUUAUCAUUAAUUUUAUCUACAAUCGGUUGGGGAGUCAACUCUGCAUCUACCUCCUACUGAUUAUACAAUUUCUUUAAAGCCUCCCGAUGGUUCUUUACAUUUGCUAACAACUAUACUUGAGAUGCUAAAAGUUUUUUAAUCAUCUUUUCAAAAUUGCUAGUUUGAGUUGUCACCUGCAUGUUUGGUUAUUUCUCCUAAAACUACUGCUGGUUAUUCCAUGAUUGAGUUUGUGACUGAUUCUAACCCGUUUGAUUAUAGUUGUUUAUAUAAUUUUGCCUUUCACAUAGGCCACAAAUAAUUCUGAAUCGAGAUUGAUAGCACACAUAGCUGCAAUAUGACAACUUUGACCAAAAACCAAACACCAAGUUAUAGUCUGCUCCACAGAUAGAACAGUAUUUGUAUCAUAUUAUGAAGGUCCUAUCCAUGCACUUCUAUCAAAAUCUGGAUAAUAAGCCUCAUGAUGUGGUCCCCUAUAAAAAUGACAAGAAUUGUUAUCACUCGAAAAGCAUCUUACCAACCUGACAUAUCAAGAAGUGUGAUAAAAAGAGAAAUAAAAGAAAAUAAAAAAAACUAAAUAAAAACUAUUUACAACUCAAUAUAUAAAAACAACAAAAAGAUAUUUGUGAAUUCAAGUCCAUGGCAACGGCGCCAAAAACUUAACAAUGCACACGCAAGUGUAUGUUGUCUACCAAGUAGUAAAGUUGCCUUUAAGAAAGCCGAUUUAUCAAUUCCAGAGGGACUUGUGUUAAAAAACUAUCUAAUUCUAGUUUAACAACUUAAGAAGAGUAACAAAUAAAGUUUACUAAACUAAUGUAGUAAAGUAAUGACUUAGGAUAAUUGUUGGAUAGAAGCCUAGGGUUAAGGCUUAUGACCAAUCAUACUACAUUAGUGAACUUCAUUUGUUAGAUUGCAUAUCGUGGUUAUGGAUUCAUAGUGUUAAUCGCAUGAUUAUGGUUUCCCAACCUCUAAUUCUUUACUUAAGUUGGACCUUACACCUACAACAUUGUGCAGGGAUGUAAUAAUCUAAUGAAGUUUUGUAAGUUGUCAUCCUACAUAUGAAUCAAGUAAGGCAUCUAUGUACAUACUAGUCCUAGUUUCUAAUUCAAGUCUCUUAUUUUAUAAAGAAACAAGAACCAUACUUUGCUAAUUCCCUUGUUCUAUCUCCCUAUUCUCUCUCUCGAGAUAACAAGGUUGAAAAUUAAUGUAUUCUAGGGGUAGUUAAUCCUUAAAAUAUUUAAAACAAGAUUAAAAAAGAAACCAAUAAUUAUAAUCAAGUUAACAAACUAAAUUCAAAAUGAAAUUAGGCAUAAUAUUAGCCUUAACCCAGGAAAAGGAGUUUUAGCCUUUAGUGGAAAUAUUCAUCAUCUAAUCCCUUGGAUUGAUGAUAAAAACCUUGAAAUAAACUAAAAUACAAAGAUAUAAACCAUAAAAUAAGUGUUGAUCACCCCCACAACUAGUGUAAGACAUCUAAAAGUAUGUAAAAAUGUGAUAAAACAUAUAUUUAUAGCAAUCGGGUAAGCCAAGUCUGUGCUAGAAUUGAAAUAGAAUGAAAAACCUAGGGGUGGAGUAGACCAUGUGUCACACCAUUUAUUCCUAUGGAUUGGAUCAUGCAAUUCACCCUAUAUUCCAUAGGAAUAGGUCAUGCUAUGCACGCUUAUUGCACGCCUCGACUGGAAUUUGCAUCUUAAAUUUUUGUUAAGUGUUGGGCCUUCCUUCUUCCAUCCCUUGCCUUGUGGUGUCUUUGUAAUGAUUUUUCAGCCUAUAUAUCAUCCAUAUAUCAUCAUAUUAAGCUCACAAAUGGUACUACAAAAAAACACCUCACGAAUUAGAGGUACAAACACACAAUAUCCAUCAUGAUGAAUAAAAACAAGAGCUUAGACUAGGUUGAUUUCCAUGAUCUUUCACUUGAAGUUUCAACUCUUUCCUUGACUCACUUGAAAUUUAUAAGCUACUAACAACUUAUUCCACAUAUAAUAGUAUAUAUAAACCAUAAGUAACACAUAAAACACAAUACAAUCCAUCAAGAUAGAUUAGACAAACAACUAGCUCAAGCUAGAAUGAGAGUUUUCUCUAUUGAACUCAAAUUGACUCUUUGAAGUACCAACUUACAUGGAAUUUAAUUUGAACAUUAUAAACAUAUUAUUUAACACUUUUGUACAUAUUUAUUUCAUUAUAAACCCAUAUAUCAUAGAAUCAUCCUUAAAACAAGGUUAAAACGACUAGAAUAGUGGCACUAGAAUGCAUAAAUACACCCCAACAUCAGUACGAUCCAUAACCUAGGGUAUGAGUGGUGAAGACCUAUCAUAAAAUAACUAGUGUUAGUUGGUGUGAUGGUUUUCAAAACUGUAAUUGAUACAAAUUAAGGGUAUAAGUCGUAAGUCAUGGGUUUGAGUCGUAUAUGUGACUCGUAAGGUGGUUAGUGUUUAAUCCUAUUGGUGUUACAUUCUACCAGGAAUACUUAUCAUGGGUGAGGAUCAUACGCUGAGGUUAUUACUUGGUUGGAUGAGAUGUAUAUUGUAUAGUGUCUGAUCCAUGGUUGAAGAUUGAUUAUGAUUGGGUCGGUAUCAACCGUAAGCUAGAUUACAACUCAUAAGAACGUCAGUCAUAACCCUGUGUCUAGUUUGUUUGGGAUUAAAGUGGGGAUAUUAUGGACAUUUCCCUACUUACCCUAAUAACGACCCAUGAUAUCUAAUGCACUUGGGAGGUUAUUAACCUUAUUAUUUUAUUCUUAAAUGCUUAGAAUCUCUUCCAAAACAUAUCACAAUUCUUUCAGGAGCUAGGGUUUCAACUAUGGAAUUACUUUAGGGCUUGUCUUCGUGAAUUAUUUCCAUUAAUAUUCUUGGCUUAAUGCAUGACUCUCUUCCCUACUUGUAAUUUCAAUUAAAUUCAUGGUCAUAUAGUUGACUUCAUGAUUUGUUCUUUUGCUUAGUUUUGUCUUUAAUCACUGAUUUAGGGGUUUUGAUGUUAAAGGAUUGGAUAUGAUUUCUUAUGGUUUUAAUUAUGUUUUUUUAUACAUUAAUGGUGGUUUUGGAUAAUGGAAUUGCAUGAUAAUAGAUUAAUGGUAAUGGAAUUUGGUUUUCGUUGUACUAUGCCCCCAAGCUGUUUGAUAAAAUACUUAUUAAGAUAUGAUCAUUGCAUUAACUUAUGUUAAAGGAACUCUUGCUUGUUUUCAUUUUAUAUAUGAAACCUUUCAUUUUUUUCAAAGGUUUACAAAGUUUAAUGUCUAAUUGGUAAUGCUUGUAGGAAACAUGGUAGUCUCCCAAAAGGUUAAUAUAUUAAAUGAAAAGGGUACCGAGAGUCCACUUAAUCUAAAUUAUUUGGCUACGGAUAAUUCUUGCAAGUAUGGUGAAGAUACCAUUGGUUGAUCAAAUAGCCUUGGUUAAUAAAUGGAUAAUUUGAUUAUUUUGGACUUGGUUUUAAUUGAGCAUUAAUAUCAAGAAGUGUAAGCUAAGCCAUAGAAGGUGGCGAUCUCAGGGGAUCAAAAUUGGAAACUUAUAUUUGAUGAUAUGAGGAUUUUCAAUGGCCAUGUACAAGUGUCACAUUUAUAUUAGAGGGAUAUAGUCAUCCUUGGGUUAUUGCCUAGUCAUUUGGAUANNNNNNNNNNNNNNNNNNNNNNNNNNNNNNNNNGCUACAAGGCCCAAGUUAAGGAUUUAAAUGUAAUGCUAAACUCGGUCCCUUAUCCCAACACUUAUAUAUAUAUAUAUAUGGUUGUUUGCAUUGGAUUAUUUUAACUUGGUUUUGAUAACUGGCAUUACUUAUCCUUAUCCUGAGAUUCAUGCUAGUAUUCACCCGCUAACCCAUCUACUAGCGGUUGUAUACCCAUUCUAUGAAAAAACCAAAUGUUUUAAUCCUCCUUAAUAGUACUUUAUUUGGGGACAACUUAUUGGACUAAAGUGGUGAGCUUCCAUCCUUUCAAACGACAUUAUUUUAUGUUGGACAUUCUUAGACUUUUUUUAUUUUAGGAUAUUAGUUUUGGCCAUAAUUGGAGAAACGUCCCAACCGAAUAUUCGUAUUCUUUUGGAUAGAGGCUUUAUGGUACUUCUAGGGGUUUAAAUAUGUGAGAUAGGUAUUAGUGUUAACCUUGGUAUCGAGAUAGAUGUUAGGGAUUAAACCCUUGUACGAUAUAUUUGUUUCCUCUAUUAUAUUAUAUUUUGGGUUUCACUUUCAUAUUAUGUUUUGAUAUUCUCUUUUGUUUGGUAUGGAAUGGAUGGUUGGUUUGGAAUGGACAGGCUUGCUUGGGUCGGUCAGGGUUGUGACCCUAUCCCAAAGUCUUCUUCAGAGCAUUGUAAAAUCUUCUUAUAUGGCUGAAAUUUAUCUCCUCUAAGUUUGUCUAAGGUGGUUGGGUUAGGUUAAGGGGGUGGUCCCUAGUUCUAUGUGGAUUUAGGAUGCCCAUUAUAAUGAGGCCACGAUCCGGGCUACGUCACAAUCAAGGAAUUAAUUCAAAUCCUUGAUUGAAUAAAAAUCUCUUAGGUUUCCUUACAACGAGUAGCAACUGAAGACUAUAAAAGAAGAAGUCUAAAGAUAGACAAAGAUUAUGAAACUUCAAGAAGAAUAUUGAAGUAUCUUAAUCUUAGUCUCACAAAGCUUUUUAACUUUUAUUUUACAAUUAUUGUAUAAAGAGUAGGAUCAAGUCAACUUUGUAACACAAACUAAAGUUGUUUCACAAGAUUUGAAGAACAAAAUAAGUCUUCAAAACUUGUUUCCCAUCAUUGUACUCGAUCCCGACAUUGAAUGAUCUAAAGAAAUAUUGUAACCCAAGGGUACUGGAAGUAGGCACAAUAAUGGUGUUUCGAUCUAGGAUAAAUAUCUAGGUCUUUGCUUUACAUUUGAUUAUUUAUUUUCUUAAUUAUUUCAAAUUUAAUCUAUUUUGUAAAGUGUACUGAUCUACAGGCGAGUCGACUUUGAGGAUCCAGUAGUCGACUCACAAAAAAUUUUCAAUUCACCCCCUCUUUAAUUUCAUUCAGGUUUUAGAGGAUAUAAUCCGCGCUUGUGUGAUGGACUUUGAUCGUUAGUAGGAGUAAUAUCUAUCUUUGGCAAUGUUUGCAUAAAAUACUAUCUACCAUUCCUGUAUCGAGAUGGCUCCAUUCGAGGCCUUGUAUGGUUGGCGUUGUCGCACUUCAGUUGGUUAGUUUGACUUUUUAGAGAUUAAACCUCGAGGUAAGAGCUUGAUUUAUGAGUCUUUAGAUAUAGUUUGGGUCAUUAAGGAUAGACUUAGAGCGGAUUAGAGUAAGUAGAAAUAUUAUGCAGAUAGUAGACUUUGUGUCUUGAGUUUUAGUGUUGGUGAUUGUGUCUUCCUUCUAUUUUACCUAUGAAUGACAUGAUAAGAAUUGGGAAUAGGGAAAAGCUUAGCUCGAGGUAUAUUGGACCUUUUGAAUUCCUUUAGACUAUUGGGGAUGUGGCUUAUGAGUUCGCAUUACCUCUAGAUUUAUAAGCUAUUCAUCCAGUUUUUCAUGUUUCUAUACUUUAGUGUUACAUUCUAGAUUAUUCUUAUGUAAUUCAUUAGGAUUCAGUACAGUUGGAUGGGCGAUUAUUAUUUAAGGAGCUUAUCUCCAUUCUAACUAUGGAUGUUAGACAGUUGUAUUAUAAGGUUAUUUAUUUAUUUAAGAUCCAAUGAAGGCAUUAAACAGUAGAUAAUUCUACUUAUGAAGUCGAGUUUGAUAUGCAUAGUAGUUAUCCCUAACUUUCUUCUUAUUUGGGUAUUUCUGUAGUCCAUAGUUUGAGGAAGAACUAGAUUUUUAGUGGUAGAUGAUGUAAUGAUUUGAUUUUUUGUGAUUUUUGUAAAAUAUUCACUUUUGUAUGAUUUGACAAUUUUACCCAUCCCUGUGGUUGCUUUUUGGUAUUUCAGAUGUAUAGGGAUGAUUGGCAUGGUUUCCGAUGUAUUUCAGUGUGAUUUGUACAAGUUUGUAGUUUUUGGUGGCUUAAAAAGCCUUAGAGAUGACUUCGGUCAACAUUUAUUGAUUUAUCCAUCAGAUGGGAAAAUGGACUAUGCCAGCAGAUCAAGAACAUCAAUUUUAGGUUGGUAACAUAGUUGGUGUGGUUUUACAAUUUUAUAUCUCAUUUCGAUCCUCAGUUUUGAAAGUUACAAAAUUAGGUUUUGGGGGUAUUUUGUAACAAACAUUUUUUGAAAAUAUGAUAUUGUCAUUGAGUUAGCAGCAUCGAAUUAGUAGGAUAGCAUAGUUUAUUUAUGUACUCAGGAUUUUGGAUGAAUCUCGAGGGGUUCGUGGAGUCAUGGAAUUCUCAAAACAUCCAGCUGGUGCACUACUCUGUUGGUGCACUUACUUAAGCAAUGCUUUGGCUGCUUAAGUGACUUGGCCCAAUAGCUAAAGUGUCGCCUAAGCAACACCAGGCCCACUUAAGCAAUUGCCUGGUCGCUUAAGAGACACUAACAAGCCAAAAACCUACCGCUUAAGCAAUACUAAAGUCACUUAUGUGACAAGGAAGGCUUUACUUAUAUGAUGCCUAGUCUCUUAUGUGAUAGCUACUUAAGCGACCCGGUAGUCGCUUAGGUGAUGUUUGGGUAGAUUACAACCCCAUUUUUGAGAUUUUUACACCAUUUUCAAGACUUAGAUCUGGGGUUUGAGUUUUUGAUCAUUUUCUUCAAUUUCUAAGCUUGGAUAAGAUCCAAAUCCCUAUUUUAAUUAUUUUCCUUUGCAUUUUAUCAUCUAAAUCUUGUUUAAGCUCAGAUCAAAAGUUGGAAUUUUGGAAUUUUGUACUAGAAGGCCCAAGUUACCAAUUCUUUGAUUCAAACCCAAAUUUCAACCCAUUUUCCCUUGUGUUUUCCCCUAUGAUUUCAUUUAAUCUUGGGAAAUAUAUUUUUGGAUUGACAUUUUGGUUUUACCCUUUUUUUCAAAAAUCCAUUUCGAGGGUUCAUUUUGACCCUAAUUAGAAAAGGGCAAUAUGGUUAUCAUUUACUUUCAUUUGAUCUAGAGAUUCAAUAUUUAUGUGUGUUAGCUACUUUUAACCUCGUGUGUAAGGUAAAAGCUCGGUGUUAAAGGAUUAUUAUACUUGUAUUAGCAUUCGAGGUAGGUUAUGGCUUAAUUUUCUUUAAAUUUGAUUGGGUAGUUAAUAAUAAUGUGAAAACAUGCUAUGGGUAUGGGCUUGUAUCAUGGAAAAUAUUUAUAUUUGAUUUAUGUGCACAUGUGGGACCUAUGUUGUUGAUAUGUGGUUGUUUUGAGAUAUUAUUUGUUAUGUGUGGCAUCAUGACGUCUUAUAUGGUGUUGUUGGCCUAGUAUUUAUAUAAAUACAUAUGUGUGUGUGUGUGUUUGGUUGUAAUUCCUUUGGUGGAAAAAUCCUAAAUUUUGGGAUUCAUGUGGAAUCAAUGGCAUUUUACUAGUAUGUUUCACUUAAUGGUUUUUGGAUUAUAUUGGAUUUUGGAUGGUUGAAUGAUUUAUGUAGAUUUUUUUGCUCAGAUGGCUGGUAUAUUGAUUGGAUAUUAUAAAUUCUCAUUUUUGUUGGUUAUGAGCAUUACACCUCAUAUCAUAUUCAAUCAUGAAACAUUGGUACCACCGUUGAAAUACUAAAAAUAUUUGAAACACUAACUUUUUCUGACAAAAAAUAUGACAUCUUUAAUAGCCCUCUACCGAUGUUUGUGCCAAAGAGGAGUAUGGAUAUUGGUAUUUGAUAUUUGUUGUAUACCAAUUGACGAACCCUCCAUUGGUCCUACCUGGGAGCAUAGCUUAAUAAUUAUAGGUUGACGAACCUCCCAUGGGUCUUACACCUACAGCUCAACUCGGUAGGUGUAUAUGGAGGUUGUAUAACAACCUCGUGCAUCAUCAUCUUCUUCAUUGCAUUACAUAUACUGUGCUUAUCCCAUGAUUGUGUUUCCUGUUCUUGACUUGAUAUCUGUCCUUUUGUUCUAUCUUCUUAUACUUAUAUUUGGAGUAUGUGUAUAUUUAUUCUUAUUUCCCUACCUAUAUUUGUUAUAUGUAUAUAGAAUAGAAUUGUUAGUGGAGAUUGUGUAGGCUACUAUUUUGGACUUUUUUUUAUUGCAGGUGACGUGGCCAUAGUUUGUGUUUAUAUGUUUUAUUUUCUACUUUACUUAGUCGGUCUAUGAUACCUACUAAGUAUAAAUGGAUUGUACUCAUCCCUACUGCACCCUUUUGGUGCAGAUCCAAGUACGAGUGCACUGUAUGGAUAGAUGAUUCAAGAGGCAUUUGGAGUCUAUUCAAGGUAGCAGUUGAUCUAUGCAUCUGGAGUUGGCUACUACCUUUUCUUGUUUAGAACAUGUCUUAUUUUUAUUCAUAGCCAGAGUUAUUCCUUUCGGGAUAUCCUAUGCAUAUUUUGACGUCAAGUUAUAUUAAUUGGUUCUUACAUUGUGACAACAAAUUUUGGAUUUUGUUUUUUAUCUUUGAUUAUAUUUCUGCUAUUAUCAUGUUUUGUGGCUCGACUUUACUUUAAAAUCCUUGUCUUGGGUUUUGGUAUUGAUUUCUCUUGUCUUAUUAGUUUGGGUGAUAGUCUUAUAGGUCAAGGCUUGCCGCGAUGAGUGCUAUCAUUACCGUUGGUUUUUAGGUCAUGAGAAAUGAGUUAAAAUUGUGAGAUAAUGAAUUAGAUGUCGAUUAAAGUCUCAUCAAGUGUUCAGUUCGUGACUUAUUUCUUUACUUUAAAAUGAAAGAUAGAAAUAAAAAAAUAAAAAUACAAGUGAAAGAUCCUAUUUAUGCAGUUUUUCUGGAAUCUUGACUUGAAUCUUCAUGACCUCUAAUGUUGUGGGAUAAUCUUUAUUUUGAGUUAAACUUGAAAAAUAAAUUUUCCUCCAUGACGACUCUUGGUAUUGGAGAGGAACUUGAAAAUUGACUGCAUUCUUCAGGUGGUCACUUGAUACUUCUGACAUUGAAACUAAGAAUCACCCAGUUUUUCAUGUGGGCUCCUAAAUUUGAACUAAAAUUAUUGAUCCUAUUAUCCAGAUGGGUUACUGAACUUGAAAUAAAGAUUGAUACUAUUCUCCAGGCAGGCUUUCUAAGUAUCAAAACUAUAAGUAAUUCUUGUUCUUCGAACGAGUUCCUAAAUCAAAAUAAAGAGUAAACUAGAACAGUAAAUCCUAUUUUUCAGGAGGGUCUUGUGCAAAAAAUUAAAGUCCCAUUUUUCAUGAAGGUCCUAAAGAGAAAAAUAAAAUCCCAUUCUUAGAAGGGUCUUACUAAUCAAAAUUCCACUUUUCAGGAGUGUCCUAAAUAGCAAAAUAAUAUCCCAUUUUCCAAAAGUGUCAUGAACAUAAAAUUAAAGUUCCAUUAUCUAGUAACAUUAACAUUAAAAGACAUAGAAAAAGACAUUAAAAUCCCAUUUUCCUCAUGUCAGUAACAUUAAAACACAUAGAAAAAGAUCUUGUCCAACCAAGAAGAAAUGUCUGUGGAAAUAAAAAAUCAGCAGCUAGCAUAGAAGAAUUUUGAGACAUAGUUGGGGAAGCUAGAUCAAGCAAAAAAUACAAGACCUCCAGGGGAUUUUCCUAGUGAUACUGAAAAUCCAGAGCAAGUAAUAUGAUCACCUUACGAAGUGGUAGAGACUUGAUUGAUAGACCUCCAAAGAAAAAUUAGGAGAUACCAGUAGAGGUAGUCCCAUAAAAAGUAGAUGCAAAGCAAUGAAAGACCAAAGAAGCUAAAAAUUUGGGAAAGUUUGAGAACCCAAAAACAAAGGCAGUUGAGCAUACACAAGAGAGACCCCUACCACCAUUCCCUCAAAAGAUGGAAAAGGCUAAAGAGGAUGUUUUUUUUAAGAAGUUCUUUGACACAUUUAGAUAACUUCACAUUAAACUUCCUCUAUUAGAUAUUUUUUUCAGGGAAUGGAAAAGUACAUUAAGUGCUUGAAGAAUGUAGUGACAAAUAAGACAAAUUUAGGUGGUUGAGAUGGUGGUACUUAUAGAGGAGUGUUGCUCAAUUAUGAUGUGCGAGAUUCCUAUGAAGCUUGAGGACCCAGGGAGUUCUGCCCUCCCCAUAUAAAUUGGUAAAAGUGAUGUGGUUUGUCCUUUGCGUGAUUUGGGGGAGAUCAUAAAUUUGAUUCCCCUAUCAGUAUUCAUUCUCUUAGUUUUUGAAAAUGGAGACCAUGUUUAAUGGUGCUCCAAAAGGCAGAUAUCAAAUAAGUAGUACUCAACAAAAUCAUAGAGGAUGUUAUUAAAAUUGGUACAUUCAUUAUUCUUGCUGACUUUAAUAUUCUUGAUUAUGAUGUAGAUGACAGGAUGUUGAUCAUGAUAGAAUGUCCAUUCUUGCCAACUGGAGGAGCACUUAUUGAUAUGAAAGAGGGCACUCUAAAAAUAAGAUUGACUCAUAAAGAGGUGGUCUUUAGAGUGUAAUGACUUAAUUUUUAGUUAUUUUGUGAUUAUUUAUUUCUAUGUUAUUGGACUAUUUCACCCUUCCAUGUGGCUAUUUUAUUGUAUUUUUAGGGUGCGGCGAUGAUUGGUAUCGUUCCUAAUAAAUUUCAAUGUGGUUUGUGCAAGUUUGUAGUUUUUGGUGGUUUAAAAGGCUUCUUAGUUGACCUUGGUCAACAUUUAUUGAUCUAUGCAUUUGAUGGCAAAACGGACUACAUUAAGAGAUCUGGAAUGUUGAUUUUACGUUGGUAACAUAGUUGGUGUGGUUUUAUAACAUUUGUAUCUCAUUUUAACCCUCAAAUUAGGAAGAUGUGAAUUUCUUUGGGGAGGUCAACUUUUUGACAAUGACAUUUUCUCAAAAAUUUGAUAUCGCCAUUAAAUAUGAAAUAUCAAAUAUAGUCUAGUAUCAUUGUUCAUUUGUGUUCUUUGGAUUUCAAACUAAUCCUAGGGGUAUGCGGAGAAUUAGAAUUCUCUAAGUAUCUAGCCGAUGCACCACUCAACUGGUGCAUCCGCUUAAGCAACAUUUGGUCAUUUAAGCGACCUAGCAUCUAGCUGAGGGUAUAUCUUAAGUGACUCACCCAUUGCUAAAGUGACUAUUGCUUAAGAGACAAUAAGUAUCUUACACAACACUUGUAUGCCAGGUGGGUUUCACAAAAGGGACACCUAAUUGCUUAAGCUAUAGCUGCUAAUCCACCCGUUGUUUACUUAAGUGAUGCCUGGGUGUGUAUUAUACCCUUUUUGUGACUUUUUCACUAUUUUCUACACUUGGAGCUUAGGGUUUUAUGUUUUUGGGAAAUUUCUUCCAUCGUCAAGCUUGGUUAAGCUCAAAAUCCCUAUUUCAAUUAUUAUUCUUUGCUUUCUGUCAAUUAAAUUUUGUUAAAACUUGAACUCAAAAGUGAAAUUUGUGGGAUUUUGGCUCGAAAGAUCUAAAUGAGUAAUUCUUCAAUUUAAACUCUAAUCUCAACCUAUUUUUACUUUGGUUUUCUUCUAUGAAUUUCUUUAGUCAUGGCUAAUAUAUUUUUUGACUAAAUUUUAGUUUUACCCUUCUUUUAGGAAAAUCCAUUUUGGGAUCCACUUUGACCCUAACCCAAAAAUGGGUACUAGGGGUAUCAUUGGCUUUCUUUAAUGCAUAAAUUCUAUAUUUGUAUGCUUUAGUCAAUUUUGGAUCCAUUCAUGGGGAGAAAUCUCUAUGUUGAGGAUUUUGGUCUAAUUUUUGGUAUUCAAAGUAGGAUAUGGCUUAACUUUCUUCAGACUAGGCUGGGUAGUUAUUAUUGGUCUAAAAUCAUGUUAUAGAUAUGGGAACUAAUCGUAAAAAUGACUUUAUUAUUGUUUUGUGCCCAUGUAGGGGCCUAUGCUGUUGUUGUUUGAUAGUUUUGAGACAUUAUUGGCUAUGUGUGACCAUGUGGAGUUUUAUAUGAUAUUGUUGGCCUUGUUUAUGCAAAUUGGUAGCAUCUUUUCAGGUGAAAAAGCCUAAUUUGGAAUUUAUGUAAUAUCAAUAGCAUAUUUUUGUACAUUUUAUUCUACUGCCAUAUGGAUUAUAUUGAAUUCAUUUAUGGUUGGCAUAUUGAGGGGAAUUUGGCUAACAUUAUUGUAAUGUUGGUUGUAUUUCAAAAUUUUCAUUCCAGCUAGUUUUGAGUUUUACAUUCUUAUAUCAUAUACAUUUAUGAAACAUUGGUACUAGUGUGGAAAUACUAGAAAUACUGGCUUUUUUGAUAGAAAAUAUGACAUCUUUAAAACCCAUUUAUUGAUGUAUCUGCAAGAGAGAAGUCUUGAUAUUGUAUUGGUAUUAGAUAUUAUAUUAUAUAUAGGUUGACGUACCCCCCAUAGGUCCUACCUUAGUAGAAUAGCUUAGUAGAUGUAUACAGAGAUUUUACGACAAACUCAUGCAUUACAUCAUCAUCUUCUUCUUCUUCAUUGCAUUCCAUACGUUUUUACAUUCUAUGUUGUAUUCACAUUCUUAAUGUGAUAUCUAUAUAUUUAUGUUUAUUUUUUGUACUUGUUUUUUGGUAUAUGUUUAUAAUAUAGAACUAUUAGUAGAGACGGUAUGAGCAAUCAUUUGGGAUAUUUUAUUAUGGUAGGUAACAUAUUCAUAGUGUGUAUUUUAUAUGCUUUAUUUUCUACUUUACUCAUUUGGCCUAUGAUCCUACUGAGUGCAAGUGGACUUUACUCAUCCUUAUUAUGCCUUUUUGGUGUAGAUCCAUGUACAAGUGCACCACAUAGUGCUAAUUCGGGCAGUGCUUGGAGUAUUUUUUAUGUAGCAGUUGGUCUAUGCUUUUGGAGUUGAUAUACUAGCUUUCUUAUCUAGUUCAUGUCUUGUUUUGUAUUAAAAGAUAGAUUAAGUUUCUUUUUAAACUAUUAUUUUAUUUUGAUUUUGAGAUGUACUUGGUUGGUUCUUACAUUGUGACAUCAAAUUUUGGGAAAUUAAUGGUAUCUUUUUAAUGUUCUACUAUUAUGGUAUAUGUGUGGUUUGCUUAAUUUUACAAGCCUUACCUUUGGAUUUGGCAUUGUUUUCUCAUUUUAUACCAGUUUGGGUAAUAGGCUUACAUAUCAAGAUUUUUCAUGAUAAGUGUCACUAUGACCCUUGGAUUUUAAGUCAUGACAAAUUAGUAGCAACCAGUUUCAUCGAUCUCAUCAGUGUAAGAAUAGAAUGCCUAGUGGAGUCUCAUGGAUUGGUAUGUAGACGUCCAUAUCUAUCCUUAAGUGGCUAUCGUAGGAAACUUUUCUUACUUUAUUCAUUAUCAUUAGGAUUCUUUCAUGCGUUGUCUUCUAAAGAAUAUUUCACUCUUUUCUACAUAUAUGGUGAGGACUGGAUUGAGUGAGGUUAGAGAUAUUAAUCUAUCAUUUGAGAAGAGAGAUCAAUAUAGAAAGUGAGUUGGAAACCAUGGUCGGGCUUGAGGUAGUGGAUAAGCAUGAGGAUCUACUCAUUCCAUAGGUAGUACUAGGAGGAUCUCCCCUUAACUUAGGUUGAGAGUGCUGGAGAUAUAGAGCCUACUUUAGUUCAACAAAGUUAUUCUACCCCUGUUUUAUAGGGCUUACUUAUUCGCUUGCUGACUCAUUUGGAGGGUACUCUUUUGAGUGCACCUGGUGCUCCUCCAGCUCUGAGUAUUGUACCUCUAUUUGUGCUUGAGUCUACCUAUAGUAUUCCUCUAGUUCUAAGUGUAGAUCCUCUAGUGGUAUUGAUAUCUUCUUAUGGUACUCCACAGACUCUGAGUGUUAUUCGUCCUUCCCUACCAACACUUAUGUAUGGUAUUUUGAGAUUAAGAGUUCACCCUUCAUCUAUGUUACCUCCUCAGAAGGGAUCUCAGCCAACCAUAUUCACUAUGCCUCUUAAUAUUGUGAGUAUAGUUAUGUCUUUUUAGGAUCAAAAGAUGUUUGAGAGACUUACUCAUUUGGGUCCUCUUAGGUUCAAUGGUGUUGUGGGUGAGGAAUUCUAUGAAUUCUUUGAUUAAUUGUAGGAGAAUUUGUAUAAUCUUGAAUCUCUUGAGUCGCAUGAGGUUACUUACGCUACUUACUAGUUGAGAGAUAUAGUUAUGGAUUCGUGCAGGUCACUAGUUAGUUGCAGACCUCUUGGUCCCUAGAGAUGGCUUAGGAUUAGUUUGUUAAGGCCUUUUUGGAUGGGUUUAUUCCAUACAGUCUAAGGGAUUAGAUAAGAGAUAAGUUUGAUCACCUAGAGAAGGGCUUUAUGACUAUUGUAGAGUAUGGGGCAUGUUUCCAUGCCUUGUAUAGAUAUUCUUAAACCAGUAUUGCCACUGAGUCUGAGAAGAUUUUAAAGUUUAUGAAUGGUUUGGAUGUUUUGCUUUACCUUACUACUACCCAAAUGGUACUGUUAGGGGCAUUCUUUCAGAGUAAAAUAGAUCAUGCUAAGAUGAUUAAGUCUAUACAUUGAUCAUCUUAUGGAGGCAUCAAGAGGGUGCACCAUCAAGGCAAAUUUAGAGGUGCACCCUCAAGGCAAAUUUAGAGGUCAUACUCCUCGAGGUAGAGAUUUUAAAGGCUUUCGUAAGUAUCCUAGAAGACUUGUAUAGGCAGCCUUGCAGGGUCUAGGUAAUGGGUCUUCUAAUUUAAAAGGUUUGGCUGGUAUUUCUGGCUCAGCUUUACCUUCCCUAUUGAGUCGAGUCAUAGAGGUUGUUUUAUGUGUGAUGAGAUUAGCCAUUAGGCCAAGGCCUAUCCCUACUGUAUUCUUAGGCCUACUUUUUUAUCAGAAGUAAGAGGUGGGAGGUCUACUAGAGGUACAAAAGACAAAGGUAGUAAUGGUCAUGGUGGAAUUUGUAGGGUUACUUAAUCAUGUUGUGGUCAUGAACAGUGCUAUGCUAUACCCACCAGGAAAAAGGUAGAGGCUUCUGACACUAUUAUCUUAGGUAUUAUCCCCAUUUUUUUUAGAUCUGCAUAUAUUUUAUUUGACCUAAAAUCGAAUUUAUCCUAUAUGGAUGCAUAUUUUGCUUUGGAUUUUGAUUCUACUAGUGAGCCUUUUGUCGUGCCUAUCUGUGUAUCUAUCCUUGUAAAAGACUCUUUAGUGGUGGAUGGGGUGUUCUAAUUUUGUUUUAUGACCUUUAUUGGGUGUGAGACUUGGGUAGAUCUUAUUAUCUAAGGUAUGGUAGAUUUUGAUAUUAGUUAUGGUAUGGAUUGGUUAGAUCUUUAUCAUGAUGUAUGCUAAGAUCGUGACCUUACCUUUGCUAGGUGUGCUGAGGAUAGCUUAGUUAGGGUCCCAAGAGAGUUAUGUGUAACACCCUAGAUUUUUGCCCUAGAAAAAUUCUAAGUUUUGAACUCACUGUCCAACCUACUACUCACCAUACGAGUCAUAAGGUGUCUUGACGGGUCAUAGAACCCCAAAUCGUAGGGUAUCCAAUAAAGUUUGUUGAAGUUACGACUAGGGUUCACGAGUCAUAAAGACUUUAUACGAGUCAUAUAGUCUAAAUUGUAGGCUAACUAGUGUUAUGCCCCAAGUGUUCUAUCCUAAUUACAACUGGAUGUUUUGAGUCAUAUAGACUUAUUACGAGUCAUAAUGUGCCAUCCGUAAGGGAACCAAUGUAGGGCCUUAAUGUUUCUACCUAGGCUAUGACUCUUGGUGACGAGUCGUAAUGAGACCCUAUGAGUCAUAAGAUGACCCGUGGUCAAUGAUGACAGAUUUCCAUAUUUCAUUAAGGGUACUUUGGAUUUCCCUUUCUUCUAACUAUAACCGACAACCUUAAAACACUUUGGGGACCCCAUUGUCCUUCAUAAACAUAUUAAAUACUCUCUUUACUUCCUCAAACUCUCCUAAAUACCUAAGGGAAGAACAAGUUAGGGUUUCUCAGAGUUGGAUAUCUAAGGGCUCAAGGAUUGAUCUCUCUCCAUAAUUCUUUGUACUUUCAGGCAUGUUGCUCUUCUCCAAGUCUUAUUUUAUGAAAAGCAUGUGUUUAUAAUCUUACCCAUGUGAUAAGUUAUGAUUUUAAAUGUGGGUUGAGGAUUAUCAAACAUUAUUGUAUUACUUGUUUUUCACAUAGCUUUUAUGAAUCAUGUAUGACUUGAAUUGAUGUUUUUGAACAUGUGGGGUGUAUGGGCACGAUGAAUGAACUCAGGGGUCAGGGUUUCCCCUAAUUUCAUGAAUAUGGAUUAUUUAAAUUGUAUAACCCCAACCUAAUCUUGUGAAAUUGGCUUUGAUUAUCAGUACAUUUGCAUUAAGCUACUUCUGUAACCCUUGCACAAUAUAAAAAGGUUAUUCAAACAUAAUGGUUUGAUUUAAUGAACAAAGGUGUUCAUGGUAUUCCCCCAAAUAGACUAAAUGAACAAAGGGGAUUGUUUUCUUAAGUAAAUAGAAUUGUACUAGCAUGAUGAUGUUACCUUGCAAGUGUAGUUGGUAUGACAAUACUAACUAUGUAUGUCUUGAGUAAUAUUGUGGCUCAAGUAAUGGGAAUAUGUGAAAAAUAUUUUAACUGGGCUUAAAAAGGGUUAUGCAUCUUAGUAAUGAAAGUGAAGGUCCCGAGAGACCAACAUCAAAAACUGUAUUUGUUAGCAUAGGGGUCUAAAUUGCUUAGGGUUCGAGUCCCCUUACUUAUGACUACGUGGUUUGAGUCUCCCUUAUGACUGACUGGGUGUACAUGUCACCCUUGAUAUUUGACAGGGUGGUUUGAGUCUCUAUUGGUACAUAUGUACAUAGUAUUAUUCUCUGGUUGAUGCGGCUACAAGCAAUGGGGUUUUUUCAGCUGGGAGAGUAGAGCCCAUAUAGCCUGUGGGUGCCCUUUUAUGAUGGUUAAGCUACACAAACUAGAAAAAUAUUUUAAAGUUUAUGCUAAGCCUUGUUCUUUUCCCCGAAUGUGAUAUUUAUAUAUAUGUAUAUGCAUAUAAUUAUGUACAUUAGAUUUUAGAUAAUUUUAAACAUUGAUCAUGGAAUAAUUUUAUCCCUUUCCUAAGUUCAAUGCCAAUGCUCAACCUGCUAACCAUCUCUGAAUGUUUUAUUCACUCAAAAUGCAAGAACUGGAGACACUUCUGCUUUUAUUUUGGCAGUGAUUGGAUUUUUAGGUUAUCAACAGCCAACUUUAAGUGGUGAGCCUCAUUCUCCUAGAAGGCUGUUACUUUUUGGUUUAUCUUUUAUCAUAGACUUUUCUUUGGAGUUAUUUAGGCUAUCAUCAGGGGUAUGUCCCAAUAUUAGUUUGAUUUGGUUUUGUCAUAAAGGUUGUGUGGAUUACUAUGGACUGGGUACUGGUUGUGGAUGUAUUUUAGAGUCCUUGAGCAUAUAUUUUUCUAUUUUGUUAUAUGUUCAAAAUUCAGCCAAUGUCAUGUGUAUUGUAUUUAUGUGAUUAGGCAAAGAAGGUGUUUUCCUAUCCAGGGUAGACUUGGGAUAUCCUUCAUGGCUAGGACCUAGUUUGGAUCAUGAUAUUAUAUUAGUUUUUUAGGCUCAUCUCUUAGUUGAGAAGGGGUGUUUGUCUUUUUGGCUCAUAUUCUUGAUAUUAGUGUUGCUUCACCACCACCUUUGGAUUUUGUUCAUAUUGUUCAUGAUUUCAUGGAUGUUUUCCUUACGUAUUUCCUUGGUAUUCCUCUGGAUUGUGAUAUUGAAUUUUCUAUUAAGGUUGAGCUAGACACUAAGCCCAUUUCUAUUCUUUCUUAUAGGAUGGCCCAGUAGAGUUGAAGGAAUUAAAGGAUCAGUUGAAGGAGUUGUUGGAUAAGGUAUUUAUCUAACCUAGUGUAUCACCUUGGGGUGUGUCUGUCUUGUUUGUGAAGAAAAAGGAUAGGUAUAUGCAUAUAUGUAUUAAUUAUCAGCAAUUGAACAAGGUGAUAGUGAUGGUUAUUAAUAAGUAUCUUCUUUCUCAUAUUGAUGAUUUGUUAGAUCAGAUUUAGGGUGGUUUUUGUUUUCAAAGAUUGAUUUGAGAUCUAGUUAUCACUAGUUCAGGAUUAGAGCUUUGGAUAUUUCAAAGACAUUUAUUUUAGACUCAGUAUAGUCAUUAUGAGUUCUUUGUCAUAUACUUUAGGUUGACCAAUGCCCCAUCCAUAUUUAUGGAUUUAAUAAAUGGGGUAUAUUAUCUAUACCUCAACUCUUUUUAUUUUAUUUAUAGAUGAUAUCUUGGUUUAUCUCAAGAGUGAGGUCGUUCAUAAAGAACAAUUAUAGAUUGUGCUCCUGAGAUUGAGGGGUGAUAAGUCGUAUGAUAAGUUAUCCAAGUGUGAAUUUUAGUUGUAGUAUGCUUUUUUCUUUGUUUAUGUAGUGACCAAGGAUAGUAAUUACAGUGGUUCAUAAUUGGGCUAGACCUAUUUCUCCUACCGAGAUUUAGAGGUUUAUUGGUUUGAUAAGUUACUAUUGGCCUUUUUUUAUCUAUUGUAGCUCUAUUGACCAUUUUAACUUGGAAGAAGAUUUCCAUUCAGUGGUUUGAUGCUUGUAAGGCAAGCAUUCAAAAGCUUAAAAACUUAUUGACUUUAGCUCUUAUCUUGACUUUUUCCAGGGAGGGCAUAGGGUUUACCAUCCGUUGUAGGACAUUAGGUGUUUGGUUAAAUAUUGUGUUAAUGUAAGAGGGUAAGGUGAUUGUGUAUGCUUCACAUCAGUUGAAGCCCUAUAGGAAAAAUUACCCUAUCAGUGAUUUGGAGUAGUGUCCAGUUGUAUUUGCUUUGAAGUUAUAGAGCCACUACUUGUAUGGAAUUCAUUGUGGUAUCUUCUCAGAUUAUCUUAUCCUUAAGUAUCUCUUCACCCAGUCUGAUCUUAAUCAAAGGCAACGUCGUUGUCUUGAGUUGUUUAAGGAUUAUGAUCCUACUAUUGUAUAUCAUUUAGGCUAGAAAAAUGUGGUUACGGAUGCCUUGAUCCAGAAAUUAACUAGCAUAGAUAGCUUAGUGGAUCUUUUGACCUAAGAGUGGUUUUUGGCCUUAGAGGUUUAUCCUUUGGAUAACCAGAUAGUUAGACUUGAUAUUAUUUCACCGACGUGUCUUUUAACAUUUGUGGAGGCUAAUUGUUCUUUGAUGGAGCAGAUUCGGGCUUAUCAAUUUUAUGAUGUAGGGUUGAGAGUGUUCAGGAUAAGGUAUUAAGAGGAGAGACUAAGGAGGACUCACUUAAUUCAGAUGGUGUUUUAAGGAUUGGAGGUCGAGUAUAUGUCUCGAGAGUAGAUGAUUGGAUUAUAGUGAUUUUGGAGGAGGCUCAUUGUUCUAGGUACUUCAUCAUCUAGGAGUGACUAAGAUGUAUUGUGAUAACAUUACUAGUGGGGUGGUAUGAAGAUGAAUGUAGCUUAUUUUGUAGAUUGUUGCUUAUGUUUCUAGGAGAUAAAAGUCGAGAAUUUGAGGCCUGGUCAUUUUUUUCAAGGGUUACCCAUUCCCAAGUAGAAAUGGGAAUGGAUUACUAUGGACUUUGUGACUGAGUUGCUACAUACUUCUCGUAGUUCUGAUAGUAUUUAGGUCAUCAUGGAUCGAUUGACCAAAUUUGCUAAUUUUAUUUUGGUUCAAGUUUUAUUUAGUGUCGAGAGGUUGCCUACAUCUUUAUUUAUGAGAUAGUUUAUCUUUAUAGUGGGUUAGUGUCUAUCAUCUUGGAUAGAGGUUCAAUGUUCACAUCUUAUUUUUAUAAGACCCUUUUGGAGGAUUUGGGUACCCAAGGUGAUCAUAGUAUAACUUUCCACCCACAGAACAAUAGUGAGGCAGAGCAUAUGUUAGAGGACAGGCUCCAUGUGUGUGUUAUGGACUUUAGACGUUAGUAGAAGUAGCAUCUAGAUUUGGCGGAUUUAGCAUAUAAUAUCAGCUACCAUUCCAGUAUUAAGAUGACUUAUUUUGAGGCUUUGUAUGGUAGGCAUUGGUGCUCUCCAGUUGGUUUGUUUAAGGUUUUUUAUAUUAGACCUUAAGGUAAGGACAUUCUUCAUGGGUCCCAAUGUAGAGUUCAGAUCAUUCAGGAUAGACUUUGAGUUGCUCGGUGUAGGCAAAAAUGCUAUGUAGAUCAUUGACUUUGUGCCUUGAUAUUUAAUAGUGGAGAUUAAGUUUUCCUUUGUGUGUCACCCAUGAAGUGCAUGAUAAGGUUUAGGAAGAGGGAAAAGCUUAGACCUAGGUUUAUUAAACCUUUUAAGAUUCUUCAUGUUAUUGAAGAUGUAUCUUAUGAGUUAGCAUUGCCCCUAGAUUUUUCAACUAUUUAUCCAGUUUUUCAUGUUUCCAUGCCUAAGCAUUAUAUUUCGGACGAGUCGCAUGUCAUUCGUUGGGAUUUAGUCUAUUUAGAUGAGAGGUUGUCAUUUGUUAAGGAGCCAAUCUCUAUUCUAGGCAAGGAUGUUAGGCGGUUACAUUUUAGAGUUAAUCCUGUGGUUAAGGUCCAGUAGAGACAUCGACCUGUAGAUGAGGCUACGUAGGAGUAUGAGUUUGAUAUGUGUGGUAGUUAUCCUCAAUUUUUCUCUCAUUCGAGUAUUUCCCUUGCCUUUAGUUUAAAGACGAACUAGAUUUUAAGUGGUGGAUAAUGUAAUUACUUAAUUUUUGGUGAUUUUGUGAAGUGUUCAUUUUUAUGUGAUUUGACCAUUUUACCUUACUCUGUAGUUUCUAUGUGGUAUUUUUAGGGUGCGGGAUGAUUGACACAGUUUCUAAUGUAUUUUGAGAUGGUUUGUGUGAGUUUAUGGUCUUUGGUGGUUAAAAAGCGUAUAAGUUGACUUUGAUAGACAUUUACUGAUCUGUACAUUGGAUAGAAAAAUUGACUAUGCCAGUAGAUUCAAAAUGUUGAUUUUAGGUUGGUAUCAUGGUUGUUGUGAUUUUAAGGCUUUUACAUCUCAUUCUGACCCUUAGAUUCGAAGUUGUAAAAUUGGGUUACGAGGGUCAACUUUUUAUACAACAACAAUUUCAAAAUUAUGAUAUGACCUUUGAGUCUGAAGCGCCAAAUUUAGUCUAGUAGCAUAGUUUGUUUGUAUUCUCAAGAUUUUGGAUGAAUCUUGAGGGGUUCACAGAGAAUAAGAAUUCUCCAAGUCUCCAACUGAUGCAGCACUUAGCUGGUGCAUCUGCUUAAUCAAUAUUUUGGUAACUUAAGAGACCUAACAACCACCUGGGGUAUUGCUUAAAUGACUCCCCCAUUGUGUAAGCAAGUGUCGCUUGAGCAAAAGUUAGGUCACUUUCGUGACAUUCGCAUUCCACGUAGGUAUCGCAAAGGCCACACCUGGUUGCUUAAGCUACAACCAUAUAAGUAUUCUGGUGUUCGCUUAAGCGAUGUCUGGGUGGGUUAUAUGCCCCUCUGUUUUAAAAUUUUCACCUUUUUUACACUUGAAACUUGGGGUUUUGAGUUUUUGGAUGAUUUCUUCCAUUUUAAAGCUCAAGUAGGCUCCAAAUUUAUCUUUCAAUCAUUUUUCUUUGAUUCUUUUCAUUUAUAUCUUGUUAAAACUUGAAUUCAAAUGUGAAAUUUGUGGGAUUUUGGCUCAGAAGGCCUAAAUGAGUAAUUCUUCAAUUUAAAUCCCAAUUUCAACCUAUUUAACUUAGGUUUUCUUCUAUGGCUUCCUUUAAUCAUGGGUAAUAUAUUUUUGGACAAAAGUUUUGGUUUUACCCUUCCUUUUCAAAAAUCCUUUUCGAGGGUCUGUUUUGACCCUAACCCAGGAAUGGGCAAUAUGGGUAUCGUUUGCUUUCUUUUAAUGCAUAGAUUCUAUAUUUGUAUGUUUUAGUUGAUUCCAGAUCUAUUCGUAGGGAGAAAGCUCUAUGUUGAGUGCUUUCCGGACUAGUUUUCAACAUUUGAACUAGGUUAUGGCUUAACUUUUUUCAAACUAGAUUGGUAGUUAAUAUUUGUUUACAAACAUGUUAUGGGUAUGGGAACUAAUAAUGGAAAUGGAUUUAUUGUUUUUUUGUGCCCAUGUAAGGGCCUAGGUUGGUUUUAUUUUGUGAUUUGAGGCAUUAUUUGCUCUGUGUGACUGCGUGGGGUCUUAUAUGAUGUUGUUGCCCAUGUUUAUGUAUAUUGGUUGUAUCUUUUCUGGUGAAAAGCCUAAAUUGGAAUUUAUUUAUUAUAUGGUAUCAAUUGCAUAUCUUUGUCUAUUUUACUCUAUUGGCAUAUUGAUUAUAUUGGAUCAUAAAUUGUCGGCAUAUUCGGUGAUUUUUUCUCACAUGAUUGGUAUAUUGGUUGGAUUUGGAAAUUCUCAUUCUGGUUGAUUGUGAUCAUUACAUCCUCAUAUCAAAUCAUUAAUGAAAUAUUGGUACCAUCGUGGAAAUACUAUAAAUACUGCCUUUUUCUGAUAGAAAAUAUGACACUUUUAAAAGCUUUUGUCGAUGUAUGUGCCGGAGAGAAGUUGUGAUAUUGAAUUGGUAUUGGAUAUAAAAUAGUAUAUGGGUUGAUGACCCCCCCGCCUCCCCAUGGGUCCUACUAUGGAAGCAAAACUUGGUAGGUGAAUAUUGAGGUUAUAUGACAACCUCGUACAUCACAUCAUCAUCAUCUUCAUUGCAUUUUAUAUGUUGUGCACAUUUUGUGUUGUAUUCUCAUUCUUGAUGUGAUAUCUAUCUAUUUAUCUUUCUUGCACUUGUAUUUUGGUAUGUAUUUAUAUUGUAGAGCUAUAGUGGAGACAGUGUGGGCUAUCAUUUGUGACAUUUUCUGAUGCCUUGAUUCUUUUCCGUGGCAACGACGCUAAAAAUUGAUGUCACCCAAAACUAACCUCCAAAGAAAUCUGUGGUUGUUGACGCAAGUAUAGUUACCCAAACUAGGUUGGGGUUUAACCCACAUGGAAUGCUUGGAAUAAUGUGUUGAACUUGACGAAAUCAUGGGCAGUGCUGAAAAUUAAAUAUAGGGAAUUUGAAACCACAAUAACACAUAACCGAACUUGAGUGCUUGAGAUUGUAAACAAUAGAAGACGAACACUAGGACUCUGUCCCCCCUAACUUCUAAAUCUGUAAGAGUCUCAGGUUCAAUUCAUCUAUCCUAUUGCUAUGCAUGCAAAGACUGACAAGUUAUGUAUUAUCAAUCACCUUGUGAACGCAUUGAUAAAUCUCAUCCGUCACCCUUUAAGUCUCAGGGCGUCGCCUUACUAUCCCUUGUCUUUGACCCCAGUACAACUAUACCUUAUGGGUCUCAAGUUUAUUAGAUGAGGGUUGAUAGCCUUAAAUUACUAUCAUAAUCUUCUUUUCUCAAUAUCAAACUUGUUUGUGAGGAUGAUAUAGAAUACAAGGAAUUCCCAAUCUUCUAGAGUAGCUUGGGAUACAAUUAAUAUAAAGAAAAUCAAGAUACAUGCAUCCACAACAAAAAUAUUAAUCUCCCACUUCCCUUACGUAGUCAAUAUGCCAGGGGUCCCACAACCCAAGUCAAGGAAAUUAGCUGCUCAAUUCAUGAAAAUCAAUGAAAAAGACAUGUAAUUAAUUGAACAAAAAUGAAAGAGUAAAAUAAAAAAUCUCCAAUUGAAUACGAAACCAAGACCACAUGGACAAAAUCAAGAACUCAAAGUAUAUUCAAAAGUAUUAAAAGUGCGUAAAAUAAUAAUGGAAUAACCAUAGGGUAUUUAUAGUAUCUCAAAAUAGUAAAGAAAUCCUAAUUAUAAUGGAAUAGGAAAAUUAAGUCAGCAGUGGUCACGACUCUAGUAAUGAGUUGUUAGGUCUGCUUAUGACUCGUUGCUUGAUCUCAUAGCUCUUUUUUGGCUUCAACGAUUAUGACUCAUAUGCUCUCCGUACGAGUCGUAUGCUUCUUAUUGUAGGCACUCCAAUAGCUUUUCUCUUUCAAAGAAAAUGAAUCUGUUGUUUUUAUGACUUCUCGUUAUGAGUCGUAGUCAUACAUUACGACUCGUGGUCUUCACUCGUAUCCAUUAGAGCAUCAAUAUUCGGGCUUUAGAUACUCGUCACAGUACGAAUUCUUACAAUGAGUCGUAGUCUGACCUUACGACUUAUCGUCCUGCAUAAUUUUCCGCCUGGACUUCAGCAUUUCUAACUAUUGUCAUUACGCUUGCACACCAUAAAUCACGGUCACUCCUUAUUAGUCGUGGUCAAUAUUUACUUAGUUCCUCAACUAAGCUUUUGUCACUAUUAUCCUUAUGAGCUUGGCUUUGAGUCAUAAGGUAACUUAGUGACUCGUACGUUGACCACAACUUCAACAUAUUCAGAGUUUUUUCUUCCAUUUUUAAUGGCAAGCCACUUCCUACCUAAUUUACCUGUAUUACAUACAAAACACAUAUCAUAUCCGAUAAAAUAUCCCAAGUCAAUGCAUAAUUUCACAGUUUUACGCAUAGAAUUUUCCUUGAAAACACAGCACAUCAGUAGUUGAUGUGCCCAUUGUGUGUCUUUUAUAUCUAUUAUUUUAUACUUUUCUCAGUCGACCUAUGAUACCUACAGAGUACAAGUGGACAAUACUCAUUUCUAUUUCAUCAUUUCAGUGUAGAUCCAGGUACGAGUGCACUACAUGGUAGCUAAUUCGGAUGGUGCUGUGAGUAUUUUUGAGGUAUCGGUUGGUCUGUGCUUCAAUAUUUGAUCUACUACCUCUGCUUACUAGUUCACAUCUUUUUUUGUGUUUAGAGACAAAUUAUGUUCCUUUUUGGACUAUCAGUUUGUAUAUUUUUAUUUCGAGAUGUACUUAGUUGGUUCUUACACUAUGACACCAUAUUUUGGGAGAUUUAUGGCAUCUUUCUUAUGUAUUUUUCUGCUAUUAUGGUAUAUGUGUGGUUUGGAUUCAUUUUAGAAGCCUUGCCUUAGGUUUUGGCAUUAUUUACUCAUUUUAUACCAGUUUGGAUGAUAUGCUUACUUGCCAUGAUUUUCCGCAACACGUACCAUCCCAACCUUUGAAUUUUAGGUUGUGACACGAAGUGUAGAAGACAGUUAGCUCACACUGCAAGGAUUUGUACAUGAUCGCAUCUAUGAAAGUGGAUAACUAUGAGGUGGUGGAGUGAAACCUUCCAAUGACCUCUUCGGACCUCUCACAUUGAGUUGCCCAAUUCUAAAUUAAGCCUGAGAUUAAGAGACAUAAAAAAGGAGCUUGCAAAAGGCAAGUAUGGAGAAAGCUACAGACCUUGAGAGUAUGCACUCAAGAGUUCAAAACGAAUAAGAAUAUGGGGUUCGAGUAAGAGGAACAGGAUGUAAAAAUAUGGUUGAGAAUGGUGUGAACCAUGCCGCGAUAAUAAACUAGGCAUUGCUUCCGGGGAAUCCCAACUUAAGGUAGGUAUUUUAUUUUCUUAGUUUUAUUUAGUAUCACCUUUCUUUUUAUUUAUGUUUGAGUCAUGGGAUAAAGGGAAGUUUUAUUACAAGAAAUCCAAGCUAAAGAGCACAACAAAGACUGAGUAUAGGGUCCUUCGGACCUCUUUGAUAAUUUGGAUGCGACUAGCUAGGCUGGAGGCUAAAAGAAGUAGUUCAAUCCUUACUUCUAAUUUUUACUUUAGGGACAGAGUGUAAUUUUAAGUUUGGGGUAGGGAAUCUUCUGAUUCUUUAAGGUGAAGCGCUUCUAUAGGACUUCCAUUCUUAGUUAUUUUCUAGUUUUUGACUAAAUUUGAAAAGUUACAAAAAGAUUUUAUUUUUAGUUAUUUUCAGUUUUUAUUGGUGUCUAGUAGAAGCACACUUCACCCACACCUUGAUUUUUAUUUUUGGUUAUUUUAUGAGGGGGUGAUGGUCACGACCGAUGCUACCCCUAGUCACGACACAGUGCUUAAGGCAAUAAGUGAUUCCAAGAUAACCCAUGAUCUAGUACAUGCUGUGAGCACUAAAUAAAAUAAUAUGGAAACAUCAUGAGCGGAAGAUAAACUGAUAAUUUUCUAAUAUAAUAUAAUAUUGAAAUCUAAACCAACAUGUCUGAAAUAACUGAGUAGACUAAAGAUUACGCUGCUUGUUUGAAAGACUUUAAAACAUAAGAAGUUGAUAGGACAAACCCCCAACUAACUCUGACUAUCUGAGAUAUAGAAAGUAUUGAAAAUAACUAAAGAAAACAUAUUGUCCUUAAUGAAUGAGGACUCACCACUAAUGUGGCUGAGAGGUAUUGAGCUGUCUAAGAAUAAUCAGGGGACCUUGCAUCUGUACCUAUGUUAUAAGACAACAUAUCUCAAAACAAGAGUAUGCAAUUAGUACUUUGAAUGUACUGGUAUGUGAGGUAAGGACUAACUAGACAUAUAUAAGGAAGCUAAACAUGGAUGCAUGAACAUAUAAAAAUGAGAAUCCAAGACCAAGUAAAGUAUGAACUGAAAUAAUUUAUAAAAUUGACUGACUGAAUAGCUGGUAAACUGAAUACUUAGUCAUGCAAACCUAAGAUGAUACAAUUCGAAUACUGAACUGAAAUAAAACUGUAGGAGUUAUCACAUAACCGACAUGACCCAGUUUGAUCUAAUAAGGGUCCAACCUAUAACCCAAUUGGAAGAGGGUGUCAGUACCUUGGUACGAAUACUAAUAUUGACUUAUGGAUCGACUAAAUUGAUGUCCCAAAGGAUAAUGGCGUCAUUCCUCUAUUGGCUGGUGACCCUUAAAAGAAUGGCAUUCCUAUACCAGUAGGUAACAUCUCAUAACCUAUGCAGUGUACGUAGUUCUAGAACUUAGGGAUUGCUACUAAAGGUCCCAAUACUCUACCAGUGGGUGAUCCUUUAUCACUAGGUUCACUCAGUGCUAAAUCCUACUCCCAACUGAACAGACACUGGUAUUGAUUACUGUUAACUGAACUCAUAACUGAUAGUGCUCAACAUAAUCAUUACACAACUGAGUAUGAUAAUGGAAUUUAUGAUUUGACUAUCUUAGUACUUGAAAAACUAAAACAUAAGUAAACACAUAGGUAUUGUGUGUUCAUAACCUUCCAACACUUAAUAUACUGAAAUACGAUAAUAACACUUAAAACAUUGGUAGAAAGACAUAAUUUAGAGACCCAAAAUACAAUACAUUUCAAUGAAUGACUGAGCUACAUGAAUUUGAAUAUGGGGAGGUGUUAAACUUGUGAGAAUAACAAUUUCACAUGGUUUAAUUCAUAACUUGAUUAUUUGACAUGGGAUCAAUUGAAAAUGAUAUAGGUAAUUGCAAUUCAAAGUAUGAAAUAACCUAAUUUACAUAGGAAAACAUUUUGACAUGGCUUGAAUUUAAAUUUCUAAAACAACAUGGAUUAAAUUCAUAUUUAGCAUGGAUAAAUUUCACAAAAGAGGAUAAAAUUCAUAGUUGAACCAAAAAGGGAUUUCGACUCAAUCAUUGGAAAAAACCCAUUAACGAAUACCCCACACACCUCAAUUGGUUGAAUUCUUGUAGAAAAACUUUAAAUUGGAGUUUGAAUGCUAGAAUUCUUGGGGUGACACUUGAAAUUAUGUUCUUGGGUAAAAGGGGAAUAAGUUUUCGUAUAAUAACUGGUAAAGAAUGGGGAAAUUGAUGCCCUUUUGUGUUAUAAAUCGUGGAUUUGGUCUUUUGUGAUGAGGGGAAAUACUAAAAUUCCCCUCAUUAACUUAGUGAAAUUUCUUAGAAAACAUAACCUCUGUGGCACGGAGGUUAUCACGGAGGCUAACAUGUGUAUCACAAACCUUACCGCGGAGGUCCUACCUCCAUGUCAUGGAGGUUAUCAUGGAGACUAACCUUUGUGGCAUGACUAUAUUAUAGAGGCUUACUGCCUAUGGGAUCUGUAAUUACCCCAAACCACAUUUGAAAAUUCCAAAACUCUUUCAGGAUACCCUUUUAACAUCCCUAAACAUGUUUCAACUCAAAAAUCAACGAUUUGGAUUUCGGAAGUCCCCAAAUAAAUUCCUUGAAAUCUUAAGGUAUAAAUAACUAAGUCCACUAUACUCGGUGUAAAAUUCAUCCCUUGGACCCCUUAAACAUACCACUAGGAGUUGGAAGCGAUCCUAAGAUCUUAUGAGGUAUUACAAUAUCUCCCAUUUGGGAUCAUUCAUACUUGAAUGAAACUCGUUAAGAUGAGAUACUAAGAAUACUGAGAUCAUACACUUAAUACUUAGAAGUUGAAUCAUGAUUAAAUAACUAAGUCUAAAACAUAAUACAUGGACUGAACUGAAUUCAUAAAUGCAUACAACGACAAGAGGAUAUUUAUAUAGCUGAAAUAUAAAAUGAGAGAAUCACUUAAGGAAAACAUUAACUCACGCUAAGAAACGAUGGGGAUACUUAACUCACAUAUUUGUUUCUUCUUCCCAUGUUGAUCCCUCAACGGACUGAUUUCACCAUAUAAUCUUAACCAAGGGAACUUCUUUAUUCCCCAGCCUACAAAUAUGAUGAUCAAGGAUCUCAAUUGGGACUUCUUAGUAUGAGAGAACAUCUUUGACAUCCACACUGUCUAAAGGAACAACAGAAUCUGAAUCAUCAAUACAUUUCAUUAGCAAGGAGACAUGAAAUAGGAGAAGCACUGAUUUCAAAUCUACAUGCAAUUCUAAUGGAUAUAAGAGAUUGUACACUUCAUACUUAGAACUGAAUCUGAAUUAAAUAACUAAGUCUAAAACAUGAUACAUGGACUGAACUGAAUUCAUGAAUACAUGCAAUGACAAGAGGAUGGUUAGAUAGAAGAAAUAGAAAAUGAGAGAAUCACUUAAGAAAAAACAUUACUUUACGCUAGAUCUGAAUUCAUAAAGAAAAUAUGGGGAUACUUAGCUCAUAUAUCUGUUUCUUCUUCCCAAGUAACUCCCUUAACGAACUAAUUUUGCCAUUGAACCUUAACCAAGGGAACUUCUUUGUUCCUCAACUAACGAAUCUGAAGGUCAAGGAGCUCAACUGGGACUUUUUCAUAUGAGACACUUUCACAUCCACACUAUCUAAAGGAACAAUAGAAUUUGAGUCACCAAUAUAUUUCAUUAGCAAGGUGACAUGAAACACCAGAUGCACUGAUGCCAAAUCAACAUGCAACUAUAAAUCAUAUGCUACCUUCCCAUAAAGGCUCAAAAUCCUGUAUGGACUAAUAUAGCGAGGACCGAGCUUCCCCUAUUUUCCAAAUCUCUUCACCCCUUUCUUAGGUGAUAUUUUCAAAUAAACCAAGUCGUCAACAUCAAAUUCAAGAUCUCUUUUCCUUAUAUCUUCAUAAUAUUUCUGACAACUCUAGGCUAUCUUUAGCCUCUUUUAAAUCAAUCAAACUUCCUCCAUCACCUCAAAAACUAAAUUUGUCCCUAUCAAAGCAACCUCACCUACUUAAAACCAAAUAAUGAAAGAUCCAUAUCUUCUCCCAUAGAGAGCCUCAAAUAGAGCCAUAUAAAUACAAGAGUGAUAGUUAUUAUUGUAGGCAAACUCAAUCAAAGGUAAAUGGUCAUCCCAACUACCCUUGAAGUCAGUAACAAAAGCCCUCAAUAUGUCCUCUAAGGUCUGAAUGGUCUCCUCUGCCUAACCAUAGUUCGAAGGAUAAAAUAGCCAACUGAGAUGCACUUAGGUACCAAGACCCUUCUAGAAAGCCUUCCAAAAAAGAGAGGUAACCUGAUUAACUCUAUCUAAAAUAAUGGUCAAUGGAUUUCUAGCAACUUUUCCAACUCCUGAGAUAGGGCCUAACAUCAGUUGAGCAUAAAGUAUGAACUGGCAAGAAAUGAUCUUACUUGGCCAUUCGGUCUAUAAUGACCCAUAUAAAAUCAUGAUGACAAUGCAUUUGAGGAAACCCUAUCACAAAAUCCAUAUUCAUUACUUCCCACUUCCAGGGGGUAUUCUAUACUCCUAAAGUAUACCACUAGGCCUUCAUGGCCAACCUUAACCUACUGAUAAUCCUCACACUUAGCCACAAACUCUGUAAUAUUAUUUUUUCAUACCACUCCACCAUUGAUUUCCCACAAAUCACGGUACAUCUUAGUGGCUCCUUGGUGAAUAGAAUAUCACAUACCAUGUACCUCAGCUAAAAUUCACUACCUUAGACUGUCAACACAAGAAAUACAUAGUCUUCCUUGAUAAUGAAAUACACUAUCCUCACUUGGGAGAAUACCUCAACCUUCUAAUCCCUGACUAUCUCCUUUAACUUGACAAAAAUAAUACCCCUGUCUUUCUUUUCUUUUACUUUUCUACCAAUGAGGAUUCCGAACCAUUCUGAACCCAUAAACUACCUUUAGCUAAAUCAACCAACUGAACACCUAACCUAGCAAACAGAUGUACUUCAACAAACACCUCCUUCUUAUCUUUCUCAACAUGUGCAACACUUUUCAUAGAUAAUCUACUAAGGGAAUCAACCACUACAUUGGCCUUACCGAUCAACACACUUAUAUCACUGUCUUUUAACAAUUCAAGCUAGCUUCUAUGAUGAAGAUUAAGUUCUUUCAGUGUGAACACAUACAAUAACAAUUAUUAUCCAUGAACACAUAACCAUGAACCCCAUAAAGGUAAUUUCUCUAAAUCUUUAAGGAAAAGAAAACUCCUACCAACUCAAGGUCUUAGGUUUGGUAAUUUUUCUCAUGGAGUUUAAUAUGUCUAAAGUCAUAGGCUAUGACCUUACAUCACUGCAUUAACACAUACCCAAGACCAACUCUAGAAGAAUUAUAGUAUACCAUAAACCCAUCUAUUCCAUCUGGCAAAGUCAAGACUAGAGCGGAUAUUAGUCGAGUCAUUAUCUCUUGAAAACUCUUCUCGUAGAAAUCUGACCACUAAAAUUUAACUUUCUUUUGGGUUAUGUGAGACAUAAGAGAAGAAAUAAAAGAAAAUCCUUCAAAAAACCAUCUAUUGUAACCAUCUAAACAAAAUAAAUUUCUAAUAUCUGAUGAAGAGAUGGGUCUAGGCCAGUAUCUUACUACUUAGGUCUAUUAAAGAUCAACUUGAAUGUUAUCACCAAAAAUAAUGUGACCAAGGAAAUCUAUUGAUCUCAACAAGAAUUUUUACUUAUUGAACUUAGCAAAAAACUAGCGAUCCUUAAGGAUCUACAAUACAACCUUAAAUGGUCUUCAUAAUCACUCUCACUAUGGGAAUAGAUAAGAGUGUCAUUAGUGAAGACUAUGACUAACAUGUCCAAGUACUGCUUGAACAACCUGUUCAUCAAAUACAUAAAAGUUGUAGGGGCAUUCGUUAGUCCAAAAGACAUAACUAGGAAUUCAAAGUGACCAUACCAAGUCCUGAAGGUUGUCUUUUGAGUGUCACAUUCUCUAACUCUAAGCUGAUGAUAGCCAGCUCUAAGGUCUAUCUUAGAGAAAUAGCUUGCACCCUAAAGUUGGCUGAAUAUGUAAUCAAUUCUAGGGAGAGGAUAAGUAUUCUUAAUUGUAACUACGUUCAAUUAAUGGUAGUCAUUGCAUAUUCUGAGAAAACCAUCUUUCUUGCACAUGAAAAGAACUGGAGCACCCAAUGGGGAAAUACUAGGAGGGAUGAAACCCUUAUCUAAAAGAUCUUCAACUAUUUCUUAAAUUCCUUAAGCUCAGUUGGAGCCAUUAUGUAAUGUGGAAUAGAGAUAGGCUGGAUACCUAGCAGGAGAUAUAUUCUAAAAUUAAUUUCCAUUUCGUGAGGAACUCCAGGAAGAUCUUCAGAAAACACAUCUAUAAAUUCAUUCAACACUAGAACCAACUCAAGACUCAAAGUUUCAAAAUUUGAGUCCUUGACACAAAUGAGAUGGUAUAUACAUCCCUUUGAUAUUAUAUUUUUAGACUUAAGAUAGGAGGCAAAUUGACCCUUAAGCACAAAAGCACUACCCCUCAAUUCAAUAACUAUUUCAUUAGGAAACUGGAAUAGAGCAAUUUUAUUUCUACAAUCAAUUGAGUUAUAGCAUGAGCAGAUCCAAUCCAUGCUGAGAAUGACAUCAAAAUCAUUCAUCUCUAACUCCACCAAAUCAACUAAAGUAACUUUCUUAGAAAAUAUAAUCAGGUAAUUUCUAUAAACCCAUCUAACUACAAUAGACUUACCAACUAGGGAAGAAACUAAGAAAGGCUCUACUAGUGUUUCGAUACUAACAGUAAAGUCCAAAGCUAUAUAAGGACUUAUAAAAUAAAGUAAAGCUUUAGGGUCUAUCAAUGCAUAAAUAUAAAUAUGGAAGACUUGAAACGUACUCAUAACUAAUCAGCAAAAUUCUCCUGAUUAUUUCAAGUUUGGUAAGCAUAAAGGUGGUUCUGACGAUACCUACUGGUGGUACUUGAUGUGGCACCCUGCUGAGUUGGGUGACCUUUUGAAGCUGAUGAAAAGUUGGACUGGCCCUAUUGAAACAAAUCCUUUCUACUCUGAACAACCACUAAAAAAUCCAUGAUUCUAUGUCAUAGUUGUUAAAUCCAAAACAUAUAUCACUACCCCCUUUGCAUUUACCUUGAUGAUUUUUACCACACUUCCAGUAAAGAAGAUUAGUGGAACUACUAUUCAUACUACAUUGAGACUUAGAACAUGUCGCUCUAUCCUGACUGUCCUUCCUAAACUAAGGCACUGGUGUACUAGUUAAAGAUUGGCAGGAGGUAAAAUUUUUUGGUAGAACUGAGAAUGGUUCUCGCCUUCAAACAUUGACUGAGAAAAGUUAAAUCUACUUAUUCUAGGCCUCUUAUUCUAGCUUUUCUUUUCCUUGAUCUUCUCCUUCUCAAUUGGCUAAGCAUGAACUAUCAGCCUAGAAAGGCCCAUCUCCUAAAUUAACAUGGUUGUCCUACACUCCUUUACUACACUAUCAGACACACCAGACACAAACUUGCUUAUCUUAAACCUGGAGUCGGGAACCAUAGUUGAAGAAUAUCUUACCAACUGAGUAAACUUAAGUGAGUAUUCCCACACACUCUGGUUACCCUAAUUAAGAUUUAUGAACUCUUGUACCUUAUUCUCGCUAUACUCAGUGGGAUAAACCUAUCUAUAAAGGUCAUGGCAGACUUCUCCUACUCUAUAAGCCCUGCCUUAUCACACCGGUCCUUCUUCCACUACAUAAACUAAGUAUGAGCUACUCCCUACAACUAGUAAGAAGCUAAGUCUGCACUCACUCAAAGUGACACCCAUGAUACCUGUAACUUUUUGCAUCUCUUCCAAAAACUUCUGCAGAUCCUCCUCAAACUUGAUCUAGAAAACAAAAGGGUAUUCAUCCAAGUAACGUAUCGAAUCAUGGAUAUAGUCAUAUUUAAUAAUGGAUUGAUUGGAGCAAUAGCCUACUAGCUAUUUUGGGUAGCUGUAAAUUGAGACAAGGCUAUGAAGGUGGCCUUGAGCUUAGUAUGGAAAACAAGGUCAUACAUGGGAUCUUCCUAAAUAGGUGGUAGUGCAGGAUGAUAUCCAUUCCUUAUUACAUUAUUUCUUCUUAGAGGCAUUUUCUGUAAAUGAAAUAGUGGAUUAGUUAUAAAAAGGGAAUUUAAUAGAGCUAAUGCUCUUUUGCACGUCAUGAAUGAAAGAAGGGAAACUUACCAAAAAACUUCUCAUAGCCUCAUGCCCAUAAGUAUGGUUCUCUUAACACACAUGCAUAAGAAUCUACUCAAUAUGGAUUUAAGACACCCUAGGACACUUUAAAACUUUAGGCUCUAAAAUAAAGUUUUGUCAUGACUUGAGGCUUCCCUCUAGUCACGACAUGGUACUUAAGGCUACAAGUGACCCCAAGCUAACCCAUGAUCUGGUACAUAUUGUGAGAACUGAAUAAAAUAAAAUUGAAACAUCAUACGUGGAAGAUAAAUGGAUAAAGUUCUGAUAUGAUAUGAUAUAGCACUAAAAUAUAAACCAAUAUUUCUGAAAUAAUUGAAUAGACUAAAAAACUAGACUGCAGUCUAAAAGCCUCUAAAACAUAAGGAGUUGAUGGGACAAAUCCCCAACUAACUCAAAUUAUCUAAGAUAUAGAAAGUAUUAAAAAUAAAUUAAGAAAACAUUUGGUCCUCAUUGAAUAAGGACUCACCACUACUGUUGUUGAGAGGUAUUGAGUUGUCUAAGAAUAAUUAAGGUACUAUUCAUCCAAAACUAUAUUGUAAGACAACAUAGCAUAAAAGAAGAGUAUGUGAUCAAUACUUUGAAUGUACUCAUACGUAAGGUAAGGAAUAACUGGACAUACAUUACAAAAAUAAACACGAAUGCAUGAAUAAGUAAAAAUAAGAAUGCAUGACCAAGUAAAGGAUGUACUAAAAUAAUCUAUUAAACUAACUGACUGAAUAACUAAUAAACAGAAUCCUUCGUCAUGGAAACCUGAGCUGAUAUAAUCUGAAUACUAAACUAAACUAAAACUGUGGGAGUUAUUAUGUAACUGACAUGCCCUAAUCUGAGCUAAUCAGGGUUAAAACACCCUGGGUUUUUAGAACUAUAGAAAAUUUCAUAGAUUUUUAUUCUUUGGACAUCAUAUGACUAGGGGGUAUUAGUUAUAUGAUGGGGUACCAUUUGUAUAGUCUUGGUCGUAUGUUAACCAAUAUUGGCUGGUGGGUUUGAUUGGUUUUUAGUGUGGGUACAACUUGGGUGGGUACGAGUCAUAUGGUGGGUGAUGAUUCGUAUUGUUUAGUUUUUCUAUCACUCAAUCUGAAAUUUGGUAACUUAACUUGGAUCUGAGUACGAAUGGAUCACCAUGAGCCGCAAUAUUGGGUAUGAGUCAUACCAUGCACUUGUAUGGUGAAAAGUGUCCAAAUCCUCUUUGAUUUCCAUUUUAUGGCAGGUACGAGUCGAGGGUACAGGUCGUCUUAUAUGGUUGCAUAUUGUGCAAUGUUACGGUCCAAAGGGAGUCCUAGGGUAUGAGUAAUGGGUACCACUCGUAUGGUAGGAUACGACUGGUAUGGGGUGGUUAUACCCUCCUGCGGGAUUUUUAAAAAUUUAAGUAGGGGUAAUCUAUAAAUUUCCCUACUUAACCUCUUAAGGCCCCAUGAAAUAUAACUCUCUGGUUACAUCAUUUACCCUAAUAUUCUAAUCAUAAACACUUAGAAACUCUCAAAUUCUAUGGAAGGCUCUUGGUUUAAGAAAGGCUAGGACUUUAUCUAGAGGAUCGGCUUGUACGGGUGAUUUCUCUCUUUCGUCUUCAUAAUCUAAGGCAAGAUACUUCUCCCUCAUGGUUAGUUCCAACUAAAGGCAUAUUUUAUGAAUUAUUUUCAUGGCAUAAUUGUUUUAUGGUUUUGGGUUUUAAAUUAUAUGUUGGGGAUUUUGAUUUUAAAUGCUUGGUUAUGGUUUUACCAUGUUUUAAUUAUGGAUGUACAUACUUUAAUCGUGUCUUGGACAAUUGGUUGCAUGGAAAUGGUUAAUUGGUAAUUGGUUUUGGUGUUGGAAUCACUAUACCCCGACAUGUUUGAUAAAGUUCCUAUGAGAAUACUCUUACUAUAUUAUUAAACUUUUAAUGGAACUAUUGCAUGUUAUAACUUGGUAAUGGAACCUUAAAUGGCAUAAAUUGUUUAAAUGGUUUGGAAUGGUUAAAUGGUAAGGUCUUGGUGGUGAUGAUUAUAGUUAAUUAAACAUUCCUUGUGGGGUACGAGGAAAUCCCCAAAGUGGACCUAAUUAUAAACCACUUGUGGGGUACACGAGACUCCCCCGAGUCAACAUGAUAAUGAAACCUAUGGGUACAAAGAAAUACCUUAAUAUUUGAAAGGUUGGCUAAAGACAUUGCUUGCAAGCUAUAGUUGGUAUGAAGAUACCACUAUUUAUAUACUUAGUUAAUAACAAAUGGAAUGGUUGUCUUGGUUAUGUGGUAAUGGUUUUAAUUGGGUAAUAAUGGUGGGGUGUAAUUAUUAGCAAUGAAGGUGUUAGUCCAAUGGACGUACACUAGAAACUCAUGUUUUCCGCCAUGAGAAUUUGGUCAUGAUGACCAUAUGGGGUACAUGGCAAUCCCCUAAGUUACAUUUGUAUAUAUGCAUCAUAGAGCGCGAAGGAUACUUGGGAAUCCCCUACUCCUAUGGUAUCUUCGAUUCAUGUGGUUACACAAAUCGAGGCUCGAUCAGGGGGUAACACUUGACCCAUAUUUCCUGUGGGUGGUACUAGGAUGGUUAAGCUACACAUACCCAGGUUAAUGAUUUUAAAUGCAUGGUAAACCAAAUUUUCUUUCCUAACAUGAUUUUUAUAUAUAUACAUAUACAUAUAUAUCUACAUAUAUAGAUAGAUAGAUAGAUAGAUAGAUAUGGAUUUGUAUGCAUAUGGUUGGUUUACUAGGUUUUAAUGGUUUGCAUUAUUUUAUUCUUAUCUUGAGUACUUGUUAUUGUUUACCCGCUAACCCAUCUUCGGGCAUAUGUAUACUCACGCGAUUACUCCUACUUAGUGAUCAGAUUCAGGAUCAGCUAUGGGAUUAAAGUUGUGAGCUUCUAUAUUCUAGAAGCCUUUAUUUUAUAUCAUGGAUGUCUUUACAUACUUUUCGUCAUUUUAUGGAUAUUGGAUUUGGCUAUAGUUGGGGGCAUGUCCAAACCAAAUAUUGUUUUUCCUUUUAGUUAGUGUCUUUCUGGAACUACUAUGGGAUGGAAUGGGCAGUGUCUGUAUUUGUGUCCACCUUAAUUUUGGCAUUGGUAUUGGUUCUAACACCAUUUGACUGAAUUUAUGAUUGUUCCAUCCUUUUAUGUUAUGUUAUGAGCAGGAACUUAUUUUUUAUUUGUUUGGUUAUUGUUGUUGCUUUGUAUUAGAAGGUUGGACCUUUUUUUGUUUUUUCAUGGUUAUAGACCUAUCCCAGUGUCUUGAAUUGUAACAAAUGCUUCCUUGUUAUACUAUCGGAAUUCAUCCGACUCAAGGUAUAUGUAUUUUGACAUUACGUUGGGUAACAGGGGUAUUCUCCGAUCCUAGUUUGACUUGGGAUGUCCAUUAUGACAAGGCCUUGGUUUGGGUCAUGUAAAGUUGGUAUUAGAUCUUUAGGUUCAUAGUCAAUAGGUAAUCCACAAAAACAUGUCAAGUAGAGUCUCUUUUAAAGGUGUGUAGUGCGCCACACUUAUAAGGGAGAGGCUACAAGGCUUUAGGAAAUGUUUCUCUUCUUUGUGUUCUAUUUUCAAGCUUAGAUUCUAAGUUCUAGAAUCUUCUCUAAUUCUGUUGAAUCACUUCUCAAAUCAUUCCUUAAUGAUAUGAAGUUCACAAAAACUCCUCUAUCCCAACUAGGGAGAAUAUUGAUGGGACACGCUCUACUCAGGGGAUCCAUACUCGGUCUAGGUUCCUGUCCCUGAUAUUCUAGAGUUCUAAUGGUUCCUUCUAGUGUUCCUCAAGCUUAAGUAAUGAAUUUUAAGUUUUGUCAGUCAAUUCAUAUAAUUUCUCAGUUAGUAGUUUCUUAGUCUAAGCGCGGUGCAUAUAGUAUUGCAUUGUUUGAGGCCACAAGGGUUGGCCAAUUCAUGAAGAUGAGUUCUCUAACCUUUACUAGCAUUAAGGUAGAGUAUGAUCCUUAGGGUUUUUGGAUAAGAUGGAAAAGAUUUCUUAGAUUAUGCUGCCAUGAAUAUUGAAGGGCUUGAGUUUGCUUCUUAUUAGCUCAAAGAUAUAGCAUACCAAUGGUAUGAGAAAUAGGAUAGGGCAAGGGGUGAUGUUAUAAAAUCAUCCUUAUGGGAGACUUUCUCCAAUGUAUUUCUAAACUACUCUUUCCUCAAGAUCUGAGGGAAGCAAAAGUGGAGGAAUUUAUUAAUCUGAAAUAGGGAUAUUUAUCAAGGAGUAUGCCUUGAAAUUUUACCAGUUGUCAAGGUAUGCUCAAGAAAUAGUAACUGAUGAAAAUGCUUGGAUAAGAAAGUUUGCAUUGAGACUGUCUCAGGAUUUGAUCCUUGAAAUCAAGACUGCAUUACUGAUUGGGGACAUGGAUAUAUAUAGGUUAGUUGUUUAUAUUCAAUAGGUAGAUAAGAAAAGAAACAAGUUGAGAUAGGUGAAUGGAAAGGUAAGAGGUUUUUUUUAUCAAAGUAGUGGUCAAUAACAAAGUUUUCCUAAUGAUGGUAAGUGGCCAAAGAAGUAGGGGAAUUUUGAUUCCUUCUCCAUAUCUAGUACUCCUUACCUGAAUCAAUUGGGUGAUAGACAUAAUUAUGGUGGCAACAGCUUUAGGGAAUAGGGUUCCUAAUCUUAGGAAAGUAAGGCACAGACGGCUUUAUUGUGUCCUCUUAAAAGGUUCUACAGUCGGUUGAAUAGGGGUUACUAUGAUGAGAGAAGGGACAGGUGUUUUAAAUAUAGUUAGCCAUCCAUAUGCUUAGAAACUGUCUGGUUGGUAAGGUUUCUUUAGGAGCAAAUAAGGUUUCGGUUGCCUCUUCAUCUACUGCUACGCUGAAGGGUAUUAUUGCUUCUACAUCUAUUUCUGCUUUAGGUAUCAAUAUAGGUCGGAAUAGGUUUUAUGCUCUUGCUACUUGAUAGGAAUCUGAGGCGUCACUGAUGUCAUGGCUCGUACGUUACAACUUUUUUCUCAGGAUGUUUAUUAUUUACUUAAUCCACGAUUUACUCCCUCUUAUGUGACCCCAUUUGUUGUUGUGCAUUUUGAUUUUGAUCUCAAGGUUAUUUCAGAUAUUUUUUCUAUUUCUACCCGGAUAGUUGACUCUCUAGUUGCUCAAAGAGUCUAUACGAGGUAUGUGGUAUUUGUUGCUAGUAAGGAGACUUUGGUGGAUUUGUUUGAAUUAGAUAUGGUGGAUUUUAAUGUUAUCCUGGGUAUGGAUUAGUUACAUUCGUGCUAUACAUCACUAGAUUGUCAAACCUAUUGGGUUAUUUUUACAUUCCCUAGUGAACUAACUGGUUAUUGAAUGGAAGGGUGAUUCCUUAGCUCCUAAUGGGAAGUUUAUAUCCUAUCUUAGAGCCCAGAGAUUAAUCUCCAAGGGGUGUCUCUAUCAUCUAGUCUAGGUUAAAUAUUUUAACUGAAAAGGUCCUUCUUUGCAUUGGAUUUCGAUGGGGAAUGAGUUUCCUGAGGUUAUUCUAGGUGAUCUUCCUGAUGUUCCUCGAGAUAGGGAGAUUAAGUUUGGGAUAUAUUUGGCUUCGGACACACGUCCAAUAACUAUUCCUCUUUAUAGAAUGGCUCUGACUGAGUUGAGGCAACUUAAGGAGCAACAUAAGGAUAUCUUGGAUAAGGGUUUCAUCCAUCCUAGUGUGUCCCUUUGGGGUGCACCAACAUUAUUCAUGUGCAAGAAGGAUGGUUCCUUUUGGAUGUGUAUUGACUAUAGGCAGUUGAAUAUGGUGACGGUUAAGAACAAGUAUCCUCUCCCAAGGAUAAAUGACUUGUUUGAUCAGUGGCAAGGUGCAAAAUUCUUAUCCAAGAUAGAUCUUUGGUCUUAGUAUCAUCUGCUUAAUAUUAGGUAGGUGAAUAUCCAUAAGACAACUUUCCAUACUAGAUAUAGGAACUUUGAGUUCUUCGUGAUGUCAUUUGGUUUUGCCUAAUUUUGUGGUACCUAUAAUGGAUUUGAUGAAUAGGGUAUCCCAUAAGUUUCUGGAUUUUUUGUCAUUGGUUCACCGAUGAUAUCCUGAUAUAUUCUAAGAGCAAGGUGGAUCAUGCCAAUUACCUUCGUGUGGUGUUGCAGAUAUUGAAAGAGCAGCAGUUGUAUGGAAAUUAUGUAAAUGUGAAUUUUGGUUGAUCGUUGUUACUUUUCUUAAUUAUAUUAUUUCUAGUGGGGGAACAAUGGUGGAUCCACAAAAAGUGGUGGUGGUUAAGAAGUGUCCUAGACCCAUAACUUUAAACGAUAUUCGGAGCUUCACUGGGUAUUAUAGGAGGUUUAUGGAAAGUUUCUUGAUGAUAACUGCUUCAUUGACCAAGUUGACUCAUAAGAUGGUAAAGUUUUUUUGGUUGGAUGCCUCUGAAGGUAGUUUCGAAGAGAUGAAAGAGAAGAUAAAUUUGUCUCUAUUUUUGAAUUUGUCUGAGGGCAAUAAGGGGUUUGUCGUUUACUGCGAUGCAUCCUGGGUGGGACUUAGUUAUGUUUUAAUGCAGCAUGGUAAGGUGAUUGCUUAUACCUUUAGGCAGUUGAAAGUGCAUGACAAGAAUUAUCCUGCUCAUAAUUUAGAAUUGUUAGUUGUGAUUGUUGCAUUGAAGGUCUGGACACUAUUUGUAUGAAGUGCAUGUAGAUAUCUUCUUGGAUCAUAAAAGUUUGCAGUAUUUAUUUAUUCUGAAGGGGUUUAACCUCAGGCAGAGGAGAUGGCUUGAGCUUCUCAAGGACUAUGACAUGAGUCUUCACUACUAUCUAGGUUAGGAUAAUGUUAUUGCUAAUAUUCUUAGCAGGUUGUCCAUAAGGAGUUUAGCUUUUGUGGAAAAGGAGAAGCGGGAGUUGGUGAAUUGUAUUCAUCGCUUGGCUAAUCUUACAGUUUUUCUUUUGGACUCCAAGAAUGGUGGUAUAUUGGUACAGGAAGUGGUUCAGUCGGCUCUUGGUGCAGAGAUCAAAAAGUAAAUGCUAGAUCCUAUCUUGAUAAAAAAACAAGGGUGAUAUAGGUGGGCAAAUGUUAAUGGUAUUUGAGAUCAGUGGUGAUGGUACCUUGUUGUACCAAAGGUGAUGUCGAUGGUUUGGGACAAAGGAUAUUAUUUGGGGUGCAUGAAUUGCUCUACAUUGUUCAUCCUAAUUCAAUGAAAGUGUAUCAUAAUCUCAAGGAGAUGUACAAUGGUAUAAAAAAGGAUGUGGCUAAUUUUGUGGCCAAGUGUUUAGUGUGUUAAAAGGUGAAAGUUGAGCUCAUACGGCCUGGUUGAUUAUAUCAAGGAAUGGAUUUUUUGAAAUGGAAAUGGGAGGUGAUCAAUAUAGAUAUCGUUACCGGUUUUCCUCAGUUUCGAAAUCAAUUUGAUUCAAUUUGGGUAAUUGUAGAUAGGAUGACAAAUUCGUCUCUUUUUUCUAGUAAGGACUAACUUUUUGGUGAAGGAUUAUCUGAGGUUGUAUCUUCAUGAGAUUGUGAAGCUAUAAAGGGUACCUAUUUCUAUUAUCUUUGAUCGUGGUAUGCAAUUUUCAUCUCACUUUUGUCAGUCAUUUUAGAAGGGGUUGGGUACUAAGGUUAGUCUGAGUAUUGUUUAUCACCAGCAGAUAGAUGGGCAAGCAGAAAGGACUAUUCAUACAUUUAAAGAUAUGCUUCAUGCAUGUGUGAUUGAUUAUGGCGGUAAUUGUAUUGAAUGUCUACCUCAUGUAGAGUUUGCUUACAAUAAUAGGUAAUAUUUCUUUGAGGCAUUGCAUGGUAGGAGGUGUAGGUCUCCUAUUGGGUGGUUCGAGGUUGGUGAGGCGGCUAUGUUUGGUCCAAACUUGGUUCAUCAGGCUAUGGAAAAGUUGAAGGUGAUUCGAGAUUGGCUUAAGGUUGCUCAAAGUUGCCAAAAGACCUAUGUAGAUGUAAGGCAUAGAGACUUGGAGUUUGAGUCUGGGGAUACGGCGUUCCUAAAGGUGUCUCCCAUGAACGGAGUAAUGUGGUUUCAUAAGAAGGGGAAGCUCAGUCCCUGGUAUAUUGGUCCUUUUGUGGUUUUGAGCAGGGUUGGUAAUUUUUCUUAUGAAUUGUAAUUGCCUUCUAGUUUGAGCUCCAUUCAUUCGGUAUUUUAUGUCUCUAUGUUGACAAAGUUUUUUGGUGAUCCUUGUUUAGUUAUUCCUUUUGAAGGAUUAGGCAUUUAAGAUUCUCUGUCUUAUGAAAAGAUCUCGAUUGAGAUCUUAGAUUGGUAGAUUCAUCGAUUACGAACAAAGGAUGUUGCCUCGGUUAAUGUUGUAUGGCGGAUCUAUAAGGUGGAAGAGGCUAGUUGGGAAGCAAAAGAGGACACUUCAGUAUCUGCACUUGUUUUUUGCUUUGGAAGUUCGUCCAGAAGGUAUGUGUUGUUGAUCACAUCUUUUUUUCUAACUUAGCUAAAGGCUAGAUUGAUUUUUUAUAAUGCAAUGACUCAUGUUUUUGCUUACCCUACCCAUCAUUCGAGGACGAAUGAUCCUAGUGUGGGAGACUGAAACACCCCAAAUUUUUGGAACCUUAGAAAAUUUCCUAGAUUUCUAAUUUCUGGACAUCAUACGACUAGGGGGUACUAGUCGUAGAUGGGGUAUGGUUGGUAUGGUCUUGGUCGUAUGUUAACCAGUAUUAGUUGGUGGGUUGGAUUAGUUUCUAGUAUGGGUACGAAUUGGGUGGGUACGGGUCUUAUAAUGGGUGACAGUUCAUAGGUUUGGUUUUUCCAUCACUUAAUCUAAAACUUGUUAACUUAACAUUAAUCUGAGUACGAAUGGCACACUAUGAGCCGUAAGAUAGGGUAUGAGCCGCUCCAUUCACUUGCAUGGUAUAUAGUGUCUAAGUCCUCUUUGAUUUUUAUUCUGUGGUAGGUAUGGGUCAAGGUUAUAGGUCGUAUGAUUCAAUACGACUUGGCUUGGAUGUUCUUACGAUGGGCAGUAUUGGGGUCCAAGCAUAGGCCUAUGGUAUGAGUGAUGGGUACCACUCAUACGAUGGGGUACGACUGGUAUGGGGUCGUCAUACCCUCCAGUGGGAUUUUUAUACAUUUAAGUGGAGGUAAUCUGGACAUUUCCCAACUUAACCUCUUAAGGCCCCUCAACUUAUAACUCUCUUGGGACAUCAUUUAUAGUAAUAUUCUAAUCUUAAACACUUAAAAACUCUCUCAAAUUCUCUCUAAGCUCUUGGGUAAGGAAAGGCUAGAUAUUUCUCCCUCAUUGUUAGUUCCAACUAAAGGCAUAUUUUAUGAAUUGUUUUCAUAGCAUAAUUGUUGUAUGGUUUUAGGUUUUCAAUCAUAUAUUGGGGGUUUUGGUUAUGAAUUCUUGGUUAUGGUUUUCCCAUGUUUUAACUAUGGACUUACAUACUUUAAUGGAGGCUUGUACAAUUGGUUUCAUAGGAAUGGUUAAUUGGUAAUUGGUUUUUGUUUGGAAACACUAUGCUCCUACAUGUUUGAUAAAAUGCCUAUGAGAAUAUUUUUACUAUAUUGUUGGACUCUUAAUGGAACUAUUGCAUGAUAUAACUUGGUAAUGGAACCCUAAAUAGCAUAAAUGGUUUAAAUGGUUUGGAAUGGUUUAAUGGUAAGGUCUUGGUAGUAAUGGUUAUGGUUAAUUAAGCAUUCCUUGUGGGCCCUCCAAGUGAACCUUUUUAUAAAACACUUGUGGGGUACACGGGACUCCCUCCCAAGUCAACUUUAUAAUAAAACCUAAGGGUACAAGGGAAUCCCUUAAUCUUUGAAAGGUUGGCUAAGGACAUUGCUUGCAAGCUAUAGGCGGUAUGAUGAUACCACUAAUUAUAGACUUGGUUAAUAACAAAUUGAGUGGUAGUCUUAUUUAUGUGGUAAUGGUUUUAAUUGGGCAAUAAUGGCAAGGUGUGAUAGCUAACCGUGAAGGUGUAAGUCCAAUAGACAUACACUGGAAGCUUAUGUUUGUCGGUAUGAGGAUUUGGUCAUGAUGACCAUAUGGGGUACAUGGGAAUCCCCUAAGUUACACUUUUUUAUAUGUAUCAUGGAGAGCGAAUGGUACUUGGGAAUCCACUACUCCUAUGGUAUCUCCAGUUUGUGCGGCUACAUACAUCGGGGCCUGUUAGGGGUUACACUUGACCUAUAUAGCCCGUGGGUGGUACUAGGACGGUUAAGCUACACAUACCUAGGUUAAUGGUUUUAAAUGUAUGCUAAAAUUGGUUCCAUUUCCCGGCAUGUUUUAUAUACAUAUAUAUAUAUAUACAUACAUAUAUAUAUGUAUGUAUAUGUACGGAUUUGUAUGCAUAUGGUUGAUUUACUUGGUUUUAAAGGUUGUCAUGAUCUUAUCCUUAUCUUGAGUAAUUGUUAGUAUUUACUCGCUAACCCAUCUUUGUGUGGCUAUAUCCCCAUGCAAUGCAGAGACCGACCAUUCUACUACUCUUGCUUAGCGAUCAAACUCGGGAUCAGCUAUUGGAUUGAAGUGGUGAGCUUCCAUAUUUUGUAAGGCUCCAUUUCAUAUCAUGGUUGUCUUUACAUACUUCUGUCAUUUUAUGGAUAUUGGUUUUAGCUAUGGUUGGGGGCAUAUCCCAACCAAAUUUUAUUUUUUCCUUUUAUUAGUCUUUUUAGAAAUACUAUGGGUUAGAAUGGGCGGUGUCGGUAUUGGUGACAGCCUUACUAUUAGCAUUGGUAUUGGGGCUUAUACCAUCUGACUGAAUUUAUGAUUGUUCUAUCAUUUUGUAUUAUAAAAAUAAACUUGUUUUUGUAUUAUUUUGGUUAUGGUUGUUGGUUGGUAUUGGACGGUUGGACUUGUUUGGGUUAGUCACGGUUAUAGACCUAUUCCACAGUCUAGAAUUUUAAUAAAGGCUACCUUGUUAUACAGUCAGAAGUCAUCCAACUCAGGGUAUACGUAUUUUGAGGUUAGGUUGGGUAAUAGGGGUAGUCUCCAGUCCUGGUUGAACUUGGGAUGCCCAUUAUGAGAAGGCCCUGGUUUGGGUCAUGUUAAGGAUCCAACCUAUAACCCUAGUUUGAUGGGUAUCAGUACCUUACCAUAGGUACUUACACUGGCUGUGUGGAUCCACUAAAUUGGUGUCCCAAAGGACUAGGGUGUUAGUACACUACUGGCGGGUAACCCUUAAAAGAAUGUCAGUCCUCUACUGGUGGGUGACAUAUCAUAACCUAUGAUGGCUAUGUAGUUCUAGAACUUAGAUAUUUCUACUAAAGUUCUUAGUCCUCUACUGGCGGGUGAGCUUUUAUCCCUAGGUUCGCUUGAUGCUAAUCCUACUCCCAACUUAACUGUCACUAGUAUUGAUUACUGUUAACUAAACUCAUAACUAAUAGUGCUCAGCAUGAGCAUAACAGAACUGACUAUGAUAAUGGAAUUAAUGAUUUAACUAACUUAGUACUUGAAAAUCUGAAACAUGAGUAAACACAGAGGUAUUGGGUGUUCAUAACCCUCCCGUGUUAAAUGAUACUAAAAUACGAUUACACCACUUAAAAAUUUAUAGAAAGUUAUAAUUCAGAGACCAAAACAAAAAUACAUUUCAAAGAAUGACUGAGAUACAUGAAUUUGAAAUGGGGAGGUGUUAAACUUGGGAGGAUAACAAUAUAUUAUGGUUUCAUUCAUAACUUGAUAAUUUGACAUGGGGUCAAUUGAAUAUGACAUGGGUAAUUGCAAUUCAAAGUAUGAAAUAACCUAAUUUACACAGGAAAACACGUUGACAAGGCUUGAAUUCAAAUUACUAAGAAAAACAACAACAUGGAUUAAAUUCAUAUUUAAUCCUGAUAAAUUUCACAAAAGAGAAUGCGCAUUCAUUUGAUCCUGAUCCUUGUGGAUCGAAAGGUAGACUAGACUGGACCUGCACGGCCCUCCUAAUAAUAUCCAUAAAUGAGUUGUUUUUGGUAAUAGAUGAACAUUACCGCAUGUAAAUUCUGGUGCAUGAUAGACACCGGUACUCCAGUGCAUUUCUCCAUCUGAAUCAGAAUAAAUAUGUUUUCAAACCUUCUCUUUAAAAUUUAAAGUGGAUAUUCCUGCGCGAAUAUCAGUAAUUACUUGUUCUGAUUCUACAUAUUGAUCGUUUUGAACUAAAAGCAAACUUUUGGGUGGAAUAUUCACAUUAUGUAGAAUAUCUUCACUCUCAAUAGUUACAUACAAGUCUAUAGAACAUAGAAAGGCGGGAUGCCCAUGACGUGUACGUAUCGAAUGAACCAAAUCCUCAUUGAAUUUUAUUUUUCCAUUAGAUGGGGCUCGCACAUGUUCUACAGUACCCCCCGUGAAUACUCCUACAGUAUGAAAAGUUCUUAAUAUUAAUUGAGUACCAGGUUCUCCAAUCGAUUGACCUGUAAUAAUACCUACAGCUUCCCCCAACUCAACCAGGUCGCCAUGAGUAGGACUCCGGCCAUAACAUAAUCGACAAAUCCAAGAUGUACUCCUACAAGUAAAGGGAGUUCGAAUAGAGAUUGGUUGUGCCCGAAAGGUUAUGAAUUGAUUUACAAGUCCAAUGCCAAUGUCUUGGUUUCUAGUGGCAAUACAUCGUGAACCCAUGUAUAUAUCAUCUGCUAAUACACGGCCAAUUAAUGUUUGACUAAAAAUCCUUUCCGGCAUCAUCUCAUUCCAAGGACUCACAGAAAUACCCCGGGCGGUGCCACAAUCCAUUCAACGAACAACAAUGUGUUGAACUACUUCAACAAGUCUGCGAGUGAGAUAUCCAGUGUCUGAUGUUCGUACAGCAGUAUCCACAACUCCUUUACGGGCUCCGUAGCAAGAAAUGAUGUAUUCUGUUAAAGAGAGUCCUUCGCACAAAUUGUUUUGAAUAGGUAAAUCAAUCAUUUGUCUUUGAGGAUCUGACAUUAAUCCUCGCAUACCUACUAAUUGAUGUACCUAAGAUGCAUUUCCUCUAGCUCUCAAGAAAGACAUUAUAUGAACUGGAUUAAAAGGGUCAGUCAUCAUAAAUUUCGAAUUCAUUUCUUGUCGCAAAUAUUCACUUGUAGCAUACCAUAUUUCAAUGGAUUGACGUAAUUUUUCUACCGUGUGUACAUUCCCAUAAUGAUGGUGUUUUUUCAAAAUCAAGCUUUGUUGUUCAGCAUCUUGAGCGAGCCAUCCCUUAGAAGGUAUUGUUAAAAGGUCAUCAAUUCCUAAUGAAAUGGAUGUAGCAGUAGCUUGUUGGAACCCCAGAAUUUUUACUUGAUCUAGGAUAUGUGAUAUAUAUGCCAUUCCGAAGUGCUCUAUUAAUCUACUAAUAAGUCAUUUCAUGGAAGUUCCGUCUAUCGCUUUAUUGUGAAAGACCAGAUUGGGCCGUUCUGCCAUAGGUACCUCUAUAUUUCGCUGAGUAGGAUUCGACAAUGGGUUUGAGUCAGUGAUUGUAAAACUUCCUUUUAUCGAUCUUGAUUCACGUAUAAAUUCUGAAACUAUGUACCUAGCUGAACCGAAGAACCCCAAAGUCCCACGGUAUCAUAUAAUUACGUUAGGUACCAUAUGAAUAGGCUCGAGAAAACCCCUAUAUAGCUUCUUUGAUUUCUCGAUAAAGAGCAAUAUGACCAACAGUGGUUUGAAUGUAUAUAAAAAGGAUUUGUUUUUGUAGACUUCUUACUAUUAGAUAGUGUCCAUAAAUCUCAUAAAAGAACCUAAAGAUUCAUAGUGAACUUCGAUGGGAGUUUCUCUUGAAGCAAUAACGCGGUUAUCUAGUCACCACCGGAGCCACAAAGGACUAUCUAAAUUGAUUCGUUUCUGCCGAUAAGCCCAAAUUGCAUCAUAGGAAUUCAAAAAAAGGGGUUCUUUCGUAUACUUAUAGUAACUAUUGUCACUUCUUUUUUGAUUUUGAUAGUUUCUGCAAUUAUAUGGAUUAUAUCUAUUUACACAAAUACCUCGAUGAUUUCCGCUCGUUAAUACAUAGAGUCCAAUAAGCAUAUCUUGGAUUGGUACGAAAAUGGGAUCCCCAAUAGUCGGAGACAAAAGAUUCAUAUGAGAAAACAUGAGUAAACAGGCCUCUACUUGAGCCUCCAAGGAUAACGGUACAUGAACAGCCAUUUUAUCUCCAUCAAAAUCGGCAGUGAAUCCCUUGCAAACUAAUGGAUGUAAGCAAAUAGUGCGCCCCUCCACUAAAAUGGGCUGGAAUGCCUGUAUGCCUAAUCUAUGCAGAGUGGGUGAUCUAUUUAGCAAUACAGGAUGUCCUUGCAUAACUUCUUGAAGGAUUUCCCAUACAAUCGGCUCUUUUUCUCGAAUUUUACUCUUAGCAACUCCUAUGUUUAAAGCAAGAUGUUUUCUAAUUAGACCAUGAAUUACAAAUGUCUGGAAAAGUUCUAUUGCUAUUUCAUGAGGCAAUCCACAUCGAUGUAAUGAAAGUGAAGGACCCACGCCAAUGACAGAACGUCCUGAAUAAUUAACUCAUUUUCCAAGUAGAGUCUCACAAAAUCUUCCCUCUUUGCCUUCAAUUACAUCAGAAAAUGACUUGUAAACUUUAUUAUGACCAUCCCUCAUUGGUUGUGCUCGGAUUCCAUUAUCAAGAAGUGUAUCCACGGCUUCUUGUACUAAUUUCUCCUGACACAUUUCUAAUUCUCCUAGAGUAGAUCUACUUGUUGUUAAUAGAUUGGUAAGGGUAUUGUUCUGAUAGAUAACUCUUCUAUAGAGUUCAUUAAUAUCUGAGCUCAUUAGUUUACCCCCAUCUAUCUGAAUGAUCGAUCUCAACUCAGGAGGAAGAACUGGUAAUAGACACAAAACCAUCAAUUCUGGCUCUAUAUUUGUUCGAAUAAAAUGCUUAGCCAAUUCCACGCAUCUAACCAAAAAGUCCUUUCUUCUUUCAACCUUUCGAUCUUCCCAUUCAUUCCCUGUGUGCCAUUCUUCCCCCAAUUCUUCCCAUUCCACCAACGAAUUCUCUAUAUAAUUCAUAAAUCUAGAUCAACUAAUUGUUCUCAGAUAGCACCUACACCAGUAGAGAUUUGUCGAUUGUGAAAUGUAUCGAAACCCUGGGUAGUAAAAAAAUUGGGAUGCUGUAUUUCCAAAACCUGGUAAAGAGCCGCCCGAUUUGGAUUUGUACAUAUAGGACAAAUGCUCUCAUUACCAUUUCUUUUUGUAUUUCUUUUUUUUUUUCAAUUCAUUUUAUACAAGUAUUUAUUAGAGUUGAGAUAACUUUGCUUGACAAUUAGGAUCUCUUUACAAAUUACAAAAAAAAAAUAUGAAUAGCAAUCAUAGAUAUCUUACCAAUCCAAUUGGGUUUUUUCUAAACGGAGCCUGGAUACUUCAUUUUUUUAGUCCAACCAAGCCAACCAUAAAUUAUUCUAAUUGAUAAUAGUAAUAUGAAUCCUCUCAAAAAUGGAUCUAAUUGCACUUCACGCUCCAAAUUUUUGAUGAUUUAAUUUAUCAUUUUAUCAUUCUUGGGCGAAAUGGGGGAUAUCUCGAUCAGGGGAGAGAACGGGGAAAUACCAUAUAACCCAAUAUAUCUGAUAAGUCGCACUAUAUGUCAACCCAAAGUAGAUUUGCCUCUCCGAGACCUCGAAAGGGAACUUUCGGAACACCAAUAGGCAUUAAAUGAAAGAAAGAACUAAAUACUAUAUUUCACUUUGAGGUGGAAACGUAACAAUUUUUUUACUGUACUUAGAAUAUUCAUAUUAGUUCUUAUCGUAUUUAUUUUAUCCAUAGAUUCUAAAAAUUCAUAAAGAAAGACAGAAUGAAUAAACUCAAAUUAUUACGAAUAGGUCUUUCUAAUGAUAAAUAAGUAUGGACUCAUUCGCUCAUAGAAAAUGAGAUCAACUCCCCCAUUGCGUAUUAGUACUUAUCGAGUAUAGAAUAAAUCUGCUUCUCUUUGUUCCUACGAAUAGAAUUGUUCUAUUAUUACCACCAGAAUAGCACACCCUUGAUUCAAAAAUAAUCGACUGAACAAGAGUGGUCCAUAGGAUAGUCAUAUUAUAGUCUUUUCCAAUGCAAUAAAGUUAUGGAGUAUUUAUUUAUCUUUGAUAUAAGGGGUAUUUCCAUGGGUUUGCCUUGGUAUCGUGUUCAUACCGUUGUAUUGAAUGAUCCCGAUUAGUUGCUUUCUGUUCAUAUAAUAGAUACAGCUCUGGUUGCUGGUUAGGCCGGUUCGAUGGCUCUGUAUGAAUUAGCAUUUUUUAAUCCUUUUGAUCCUGUUCUUGAUCCAAUGUGGAGACAGGGUAUGUUCAUUAUACCCUUCAUGACUCAUUUAGGAAUAACCAAUUCAUGGGGCGGUUGGAGUAUCACAGGGGGGACUAUAAUGAAUUCGGGUAUUUGUAGUUAUGAAGGUGCAGCGGGAGCACAUAUUGUGUUUUCUGGCUUAUGCUUUUUGGCAUCUAUCUGGCAUUGGGUGUAUUGGGAUCUAGAAAUAUUUUGUGAUGAACACACAGGAAAACCCUCUUUGGAUUUGCCAAAGAUCUUUGGAAUUUAUUUAUUUCUCUCAGGGGUAGCUUGCUUUGGUUUUGGUGGAUUUCAUGUAACAGGCUUGUAUGGUCCCAGAAUAUGGGUGUUCGAUCCUUAUGGACUAACGGGAAAAGUAAAACCUAUAAAUCCAGCGUGGGGCAUGGAAAGUUUUGAUCCUUUUGUUCCAGGAGGAAUAGCCUCUCAUCAUAUUGCAGUAGGAACAUUGUGCAUAUUAGCGGGCCUAUUCCAUCUUAGCAUCCAUCCACCACAACGAGUAUACAAAGGAUUGCGUAUGGGAAAUAUUGAAACCAUCCUUUCCAGUAGUAUUGUUGCUAUCUUUUUGUAGCUUUUGUUGUUGUCGGAACUAUGUGGUAUGGUUCGGCAACUACCCCGAUUAAAUUAUUUAGGCCCACUCGUUAUCAAUGGGAUCAGGGGUACUUCCAGCAAGAAAUAUAUCAAAGAGUUAGUGCUGGGCUAGCAGAAAAUCAAAGUUUAUCAGAAGCCUGGCCUAAAAUUCCUGAAAAAAAAUUAGCUUUUUAUGAUUAUAUCGGCAAUAUUCCGGCAAAAGGAGGAUUAUUCAGAGCAGGUUCAAUGGAUAACAGGGAUGGAAUAACGAUUGGAUAGUUAGGACACCCUAUCUUUAGAGAUAAAGAAGGGCGUGAACUUUUUGUACGUCGUAUGCCUACUUUUUUUGAAACAUUUUUGGUCGUUUUAGUAGACGGCGAUGGAAUUGUUAGGGUUAAUGCUCCUUUUAGAAGGGCAGAAUCGAAGUAUAGUGUUGAACAAGUAGGUGUAACUAUUGAGUUCUACAGCGGUGAACUCAACGGCAUCAGUUAUAGUGAUCUUGGUACUGUGAAAAAAUAUGCUAAAUGUGCUCAAUUGGGUGAAAUUUCUGAAUUAGAUCGUGCUACUUUGAAAUCCGAUGGUGUUUUUCAUAGUAGUCCAAGGGUUCAUUUACUUUUGGGCAUGCUUUGUUUGCUUUGCACUUCUUCUUCGGACACAUUUGGCAUGGUGCUAGAACCUUGUUCAGACAUGUUUUUGCUGGUAUUGACCCAAAUUUAGAUGCUCAAGUUGAAUUUGGGGCAUUCCAAAAACUUGGAGAUCCAACUACAAAAAGACAGGCAGCCUGAUACAACAUUGCUUUGGUAUCUUUCUUUUUCCCUUAUUUUCUUUCUUUUACUUUUAUUGACAUAGGGUACCAGAGAAAUCUUUAUUUGAAUCAACUUCGUUUUUACUCUUGUUCGUUCUUUAUCUGGAAGAUGAUAAAAAAAAGAAAAUAAAAAGAAACAAACAGGUAUGAAAGCUAUAAUUGUAAACCACGAUCGAAUCUAUGGAAGCAUUGGUUUAUACAUUCCUCUUAGUCUCGACUCUAGGGAUAAUUUUUUUCGCUAUCUUUUUUCGAGAACCGCCUAAAGUUCCAACUAAAAAGAACUAAAAAGGGGAAUGAAUUUUUCAUUAUCUCAGUUGAAGUACUGACCCUCCCGAUAUCGGGAGGCUUAGUACUUCAACUAAUCUCCAUGUUCCUCGAAUGGAUCUCUUAGUUGUUGAGAAGGUUGCCCAAAAGCGGUAUAUAAGGCAUAUCCAGUAAAACUUACAAGUAAACUAGAUAUAAAGAUGGCGACUAGGGUUGCUGUUUCCAUUCUUAUCAUAUUUAUAUAAUUUCAAGACCCCAAUGGAUUAUGAUAGGAUCAUUUACUUACAACGGAAUGGUAUACAAAGUCAGCAGAUCUCAAUGAAUACUAUAGGAUUUAUGGCUACACAAACUGUUGAGAACAAUUCUAAAUCUGGUCCGAGACGAACUGUAGUAGGAGAUUUAUUAAAACCAUUGAAUUCGGAAUAUGGUAAAAUAGCUCCUGGGUGGGGAACUACUCCUUUGAUGGGUGUCGCAAUGGCCUUAUUUGCGGUAUUUCUAUCUAUUAUUUUGGAGAUUUAUAAUUCUUCCAUUUUAUUGGAUGGAAUUUCGAUGAAUUAGAUCUAUAAGAAUCGCAAAGUCCUUACUUUGGAGUCCAAAAUGAAUCAUUUAGAGCUCCGAUUUAUAGUACAUUCUAUUUUGUUUUGGUAGUUCGAUCGUGGAAUUUCUUUGUUUCUGCACUUUCGGAGUAUGAGUGUGUGACUUGUUAUAAUUGAUCCUAUUGAUAGUACAGAGAAUGAGUCUGUCAUCUUGAUAGAGAUGAUUCUACUUCGUCAGAUAUUUAUUCUAAUAUUUGGAACACGAAAUAGAUUAAGAAAUAUUUGAACUAUGAUUCAUACUUAAUAUUCAGACCCCGUGUCCGGGCUCCAAAAAAUUUUCAAACAAAGAAUUCGAAUUUCUAAAUCGAAAGAUUCUUUUCUUUCAACCCCUAAUUUAUAUUUUGACCAAAAGCAAAACCUUUCUUUGAAUUUUUAGUCAUUCUAUUUAUUCAGGGAAUAAGUGAUGAUCCGAGGAUUCUUACUCAGAGAAUCCUUGAUUUGAUUUAGGUUAGGUUUUUUUUAUUGAAUCAUCGUGGUUCUAGUAUGAAUCUGAGGUUUUAAUCGAUUCAUAGGGUCUUAACAAGAGAAUUCCUAUCAAUAAUAAAGAAAACAAAGAAUAAAAGACAUAUUCCACAAAAACAAAUUCUAGAAAGAAAUAGGGAAAAAGAGAAUUCAAGAGGCCCAUAAGUAUCAAAAUAAAGAUAAAGACGACUGCGCCAACUUGAUAUUUUGGUAUUAUCGCCACAAAGAAGAGCUUUCGGAUUUUCCAGAGAAGAUGGGAUCAGAACUUAAUAACUUUAAAACUUUCUAUUCCAUAUCCGUUACAACUAGUAUUUGGGAGGGGAGUUCCUCCUAUCUCAAUAAAGUAUAUGAUUUGUUUGAAGAACGUCUCGAGAUUCAAGCAAUUACGGAUGAUAUAACUAGUAAAUAUGUUCCCCUCCCCCCCACGUCAAUAUAUUUUAUUGUUUAGGGGGAAUUACGCUUACUUGUUUUCUAGUACAAGUAGCUACUGGGUUUGCUAUGACUUUUUACUACCGGCCGACCGUUACUAAGGCUUUUGCUUCUGUUCAAUACAUAAUGACUGAAGCCAACUUUGGUUGGUUAAUCCAAUCAGUUCAUCGAUGGUCGAAAAGUAUGAUGGUCCUAAUGAUGAUCCUGCAUGUAUUUUGUGUGUAUCUCAUCGGCGGAUUUAAGAAACAAGGGGCUGGGUCAACUAUUCAAUCAAAUGAUAUUGAGCAUGUUUCCCAUCUCUUCUCGAGAAACAAGUGGGCUAUUUCUUUGCAAAACUGUGCUCAAUUUCAUAUGUGGCAAUUUUGCCAAGAUCUCUUCGUUAGUUGGGGGAAGAAUCCGCCCGAAUUGGAUUUCUUAAGGAACGUAUCGAGAGAGAAUUGGAUUUGGUUAGACAAUGUGUGGUUGGUAAACAAGGAUCGGUUUUUUAGCAAGGUACAAAAUGUAUCAUCAAAUAUUCAAUAUGAUUCCACAAGAUCUAGUUUCGUUCAAGUAACGGAUUCUAGCCAACUGAAAGGAUCUUCUGAUCAAUCCAGAGAUCAUUUGGAUUCCAUUAGUAAUGAGGAUUCGGAAUAUCACACAUUGAUUAAUCAAAGAGAGAUUCAACAAUGAAAAGAAAUAUCGAUUCUUUGGGAUCCUUCCUUUCUUCAAAUGGAACGAAAAGAGAUAGAAUCAGGCCGAUUCCCGAAAUGCCUUUCUGGAUAUUCCUCAAUGUCCCAGCUAUUCACAGAAUGUGAGAAGCAGAUGAUUAAUCAUCUAUUUUCGGAAGAAAUUGAAGAAUUUCUUGGGAAUCCUACAAGAUCCGUUCGUUCUUUUUCUCUGAUAGAUGGUCAGAACUUCAUCUGGGUUCGAAUCCUACUAAGAGGUCCACUAGAGAUCAGAAAUUGUUGAAGAAACAACAAGACCUUUCUUUUGUCCCUUCCAGGCGAUCGGAAAAUAAAGAAAUGGUUAAUAUAUUCAAGAUAAUUACGUAUUUACAAAAUACCGUCUCAAUUCAUCCUAUUUCAUCAGAAUCUGGGAUGUGAUUGGUUCCGAAGGAUGAACCGGAUAUGGAUAGUUCCAAUAAGAUUUCAUUCUUGAACAAAAAUCCAUUUUUUGAUUUAUUUCAUCUAUUCCAUGACCGCAACAAGGGAGGAUACACGUUACACUACGAUUUUGAAUUAGAAGAGAGAUUUCAAGAAAUGGCAGACCUAUUCACUCUAUCAAUAACCGAGUCGGAUCUGGUGUAUCAUAAGGGAUUUACCUUUUCUAUUGAUUCCUAUGGAUUGGAUCAAAAACAAUUCUUGAAUGAGGCCAGGGAUGAAUCGAAAAAGAAAUAUUUAUUGGUUCUACCUCCUAUUUUUAUGAAGAAAAUGAAUCUUUUUCUCGAAGGAUCAGAAAAAAUGGGUCCAGAUCUCCUGCGGGAAUGAUUUGGAAGAUCCAAAACCAAAAAUAGUGGUAUUUGCUAGCAACAACAUAAUGGAGGCAGUCACUCAAUAUAGAUUGAUCCGAAAUCUGAUUCAAAUCCAAUAUAGUACCUAUGGGUACAUAAGAAAUGUAUUGAAUCGAUUCUUUUUAAUGAAUAGAUCUGAUCUCAACUUCGAAUAUGGAAUUCA